rnacentral:lncRNA from 1 species
AUGGUAUCAAUUAAACAAUAUUCUGUUUUGAAAUUUAUUUGUUACAUGGCUUUGACAGGAACAUUUGUUAUAAUGAUCUAUCCUCUCAAAUCCAUCUUGUAAGUAAUAUACUUAUAUUUAUAUUUUUCAUGUCUAUUUGUAUAGUGUGUGUUAUUAGACCAAAUAUUUAUCUCUGGUUUGCAACCUCAAAGUGCAACCAGAUUCUUAUCCUAACCAUUCAAAAUAGAUCUAGAUCUAGAUCUAAUCACAACCAGUUGCAGCCAAUUCCCUUAAGCGAAGAGACUUUGGUGAUGGAUUGUCAUUUCUUUGAGGAGAAGUAUUAUGUUGUUGCUGUAAUUGGCGUUCAUCAAGUUUAGAACUUCCUCCUCCAGUCUCAAUUGGAGCCUUACAAGCAGCUCGUCUUGUUCUAAGAUUCCAUGGUCUUACUGCACUAGCCACCACAGAUUCAUCUUCUUCUUUCUCUUCUGGAAUUGAAUAUUGCAUCUUUUCUGCAGCCGUUUGAAGAUGAACCAUAAGUUUUGCUCGAAACUCUUCAAUUCCAUCAUCGCCAUCUUUUCCGAUCUUUGAUUUCACUCCAGAUGAUGAUGCUCUAUUCUUUGACGGUGAAGGUAAACUUUUCAAUGAUCUCUGUUUCACAAAUUUCAAAUCUUUACCAUCAGAAUCAACAUCAGAACCAGAAGAUCUACGAUCGGAAGAUACGAUUUCACCAUUUGAAUCAACUUUCAUAAAACGAAGAAACCUUUGAUUUCCCCAUCUCAAAGAUGUUGGUAAAGAGAAAUUGUGAAGUGGUUUUGAUUUUUUCUGGAACCAUUUUCAUCAUAAACUUCUUCUUCUGAGAUCCCUUUUCUUCAAAGAAAUCAGACAUCACCAUUAACUGUAUCUUAAAAAUUGAAAACUUUUAAAUAUAAUAGAGCUCGAAUUGAUGAUUUUCUUCUGAAUUCUUCAAAUAAAUUUGAAAUUUUUUCUUCAAUUUGAGAGAUUUGAAGAAAAAGAUUACAAAAUUUCAGAUACAAGUGAGAGAUGAGAGAGAAACAAAAUCCCUUUCCCUUAGUUUCUAAAAUCGCCGGGAAAUGUAGAGAAAGAAGAGAGAGAAAGAAAGAAGAAUGAGAGCGGGUUUAACACUUUCUCGCUGGUUUGUUCUGUUAAUGGCGGAAAGAAGAUAAGAAGUUAGGUUAGUUUUGAUUUUAUUUAGUUAGUUUGAUAAGUUAGGUUAGUUUUGAUUAGAUUAAGAUUUGGUUGGACGGUUGUGAUUAGAUCUAGAUCUAGAUCUAUUUUGAAUGGUUAGGAUAAGAAGUGGUAGAUAUAAGUGGGUUUGCUGACAUGGCAUUAUUGAUGACUGGGCAAAAUGACUAGGAUGUGGGUUUAAAUGGUGGGAGGGUAAAAUUGUCUGAAAACUAUGAAGACUGGUCAGACCAUGAUCAACGGCUUGGUUGACCGGCUUCAAAUGGAAAAAUGGGGGUAUCUCUAAGAGUUUCUAAAUCUGGGGGUAUCUCAAAGAGUUCCUAUUAUUUUGGGGUAUCUCUAAAUCCCCCUAAAAAUUAAAAAUAUUGAACAACAUUUCUUCAUCUUUGUUGCAGGGACAACGAUAGCACUGCUGCCUCAAUUGCUCUCCUAAAUCCUAAUGCACCUGCAGGGGCAGUGGUUCAGGAUGGAGAUGUGUUUAUCUUCAAGGACAUCAAUUGGCAGUGUACCUGAAUUUCAUUUCCCUUAUUAACGAAAUGCGCCGCAUUUACCUAGAAAAAAAAUAAAAUAAAACUGUAACGGGAUAUCUAGCUAUAAUCGAAAGAGAAAGCAAGCAUUGGCAGUAUGAAUUUCAUUUUGAGGUUCAUCUUCAAAAUUUUCAUGGCAACGCCGGCAUGUGACUUCUCACUCCUCUGCAAGAGUUUGUUCUCUUUCAGGUAAGCUUUUGUAGGUGAGUACACGAUUACACCAGAUGGCCAGAUGGGGCAGUGAGUAAGCCUUGGAGUUUCCUAUAGUUUUCUGGUCAUGAUUUUGGAAUCUAUAACGUUUUUAAAAUAUUAUCUAAAUCAAGCCUUGUCGCUGCAAAUAUUACAAUACCUUAUGCACUUAACUAAGUUUGAACUUUGAUGAAUCAUGAAUGUCUUGCACUUAAAACAUAUCUAGAUCAAGUCAAAUUAAUUACGUGUUUUGAUCAUACUAUUUUCAACUACCUAAACGUCAAUUCAGAUCCAGGGAAGAGGUCCAAACCCUUUGAUGUGCCAGAAUAGGAUCACAAUCUUUAGAUAUACGGUUUUGGUAGGUAAUGCAACAGAAGAAUGGCGGAAUAUGUAGAGCUCAAGAUGCACUGCCUGGGAUCGAACUUCAGACCUCUGGUAUCUUAGGUAUAUAUUACCAACUAGGCUCAGUUAGCAUCAGCAAGAUGUAAUAAUCUUUAGGAGAAAGCGACAAAAUUGUUGAAAAGCUCUUCACUUUAUUGCGCUGCCUUUGAAAAAUCUCUCCAUUACACUGACUUGCUACUCUCUGGAAAUUUUUCUCUCAACUGUUAUCUAACACCGAACAACUGGUUUACUUAACAAGGACUCUAGAUUAAUGUAAUGGAUUUUUUACUCUUACUUAUGAAUCAGGGACAUUUGUGAAUGAUUAAAUUAUUUUUCGGAAAAUCUAAGAUUAAUUAUCACCCUUAAUAUGAAUCAUGGUUUAAAGGUCUGCAAUUUGCAAAAACACCCUUAAACUGAAUCAUGGACCAUGGAUGGUGGUUGUGUAUGUAUAUACAUAUCGAGCUACAUCGAUAUCAACCUUAUUUUCAUCGAGCUCACCCGAGCUCAAGUAUAUUUUCAACGACUUGGCCCGCCCGAGAUACAUUAAAAGUCCUAGUCCAACUUGGCCGAACUCGAUGACUCAUGAGCUAGUGUGGCGCUUACCUGGCAAAGCAUGUUAAUGCCAACAAUUACAAGAUCGAGAUCAAAUAUUCUCCUUUAUUAUUUGUCUGUUAUUGGUCCGUUAUUUUUCGUUACAAAAUUAAUGUGAUUUGUAUCACAUAUGCUCAGUUGUAAUUCCCUAUCUAUAUAAAGGGACAUAUUUAAUGUAAAACGGACAAGCUCUCACUAGCUCCUCUCUUCAAUUCUCUUCUCACAUCAAUAAUAAAACAAUCAUCUCUCCCGUGGACGUAGGCACCAUUAGGGGUGGGCACGGUCCGGUCCGGUCCGGUCCUAAAAAGUAAUAGGACCAGGACCAAACCGACUUUAAAUUUUCGGUUCGGUUUCGGUUCAUGGACCGAAAAUAUUUGAAUAUAACCGGCCCGAGCCGGACCAAAUACAGUCGGUCUGAUUUUGGUUCGGAACUCGGUCCUGGGCUUUUGUUAUUGGGCCUUUAGUCCACUAAAAUAUUAAAGAUUAUUCUUAAGUUUUGGGCUUUAAACAAAAUAAGACAUGCACCCAAUCAAACCAAAUCAAGUACUAAAUAGAAGAAAAGGUCCAAUAUCUGUGUAGUUCGGUUCGGUUCGGUUCCCUCGGUUCUCUAAAAACAAAAACCGAGACCAGACCAAUAUCUAUACAGUUCGAUUCGGUUUCAGUUCAGUCUUGACCGGUUUCUAGUCAACUAGGUUUUGACUCGGUUUUUUCGGUUCGGUUUUCGGUUUUUCGGGUUUUUUGCCCACCCCUAGGCACCAUUGCCGAACCACGUAAAAUCAUGUCUCUUUACAUAUCUUUUACGGUUUGCAUGUCGUUCUUCACUUUGUAAAUUUUAUGUAUUUACAGUGGUGGUACCUGAAUCCUACAUGUACGCGUAAAAGAGGCACUGUCCUUGAAUCAUAAAUCAUGUUCCUUGAGUUGAAAGAGAUAACUCUUUAUCAACUUUCAAAUAAUUCAAUUGCAUUAACAUUUUUUCAGAUUAAUGCAUUAAUUGGGUCAGGUUGUUGUUGGCCAAACCAAGAUGGGAUAUUGAGAUCGGGGGUGGCAGUACCUCGAUGAGGUCGAGAUUGCCUACGUACUAUAACUUGAGGGAGUGGAACUUAGAGAUCAAGCCAUCGUAGUUUUGUUCUUAUAGAAGGUGAAAGGGCGCAGAUCAUUGGAUUAUGCAGAUUCUCUGACAUCUAUUGAUUGCGUGAUAUCUGGCAAUAAAUGUGUAACGGAUCAAGAUAUUCUCUGAGCAUUGAUUAAGGGCAUGUGUCUGUAAUGAGGUCGCCAACGGUAACAGUGGUCAGAUCAGAUGAGGUCAUAACAUGUGCGACCUGGUGGACUGUUGAGUUAUGUCAUGUGUCGUGUUUUGAUUGGAUGUUGCAUGUAGUACCUGUACAUAAGCCCCUUUUUUUUAGGUUGAUAAAAUAUCGGGCUGAAAAGCAGCUAGCUAGUUGCUUCGACCUUGUAUUUGAAUUUUAGAAAUGGGACACGUGGCUGGCAUGCAUUGUUGUUGGACACCAUCAUUGCGCUUUGUGUGGUAGUGGAGAGGUUUUCUUGAGCAAUUGAAUGUGUAAGGAUUUGGCAACUGCAAUAACUUUAUUGUUUAAUGCACCUUGGCGUGACACAUGGAUUGAUCCGACAAUGGAUGUAGAAGGUCGGAGUAGUGGGUAAUAACUGCAAAUGUCGUGUUUGUCCACAUUCGAUCUUGUCUGUUGAUUGUUUAUUCAUCGAUGGCUUAAAACUCUCUUCGCUUGGUAUUUAAGCCCCGCUGGAUUAUUUCGUUCUUCACUUUCUUCAUUUGCUCUCUCAAACUGAUGUCGUUUUUUCGUUGCAACCUGAAGAUCUUGAGAGCUUUGGUGAGUUAUUAUUUUUUUCUUUUUCUCUUACUUUAUUCAUUCUUUUCUGCUUUCUGAGAAUAUGCCUGAGGGUAGUGACACUCAGAACAAGCAUUUAAGUGGGAACAAUGCUGGGUGUUAUGAGUCUGACGAAUGGACUCAAUCUGGAGAUGAUGUUUGCUCCCCUGCUCGAUUGGAGGGGCAGUUGGAGGAAGAUAGCCCUGGUAGUAGUGGACCACAUAGGGAGGAUAGUUAUGAUGGUGAGAUGGUAGAGGGUGAAAAUAGCUGUUUUCAUCGUGUAGUUAACCAUUCUUAUGUGAGGAGCCAUAUCGCUUUCCAUUUUCUAUUGUUUUCACCCUUUGUCAAUUUCGAGUCGUUGGUCUCAGAUUACCCUUGUCUCGUCUUGUUCUUGACUUGCUUAACAUCAUCAAGCGAGCUCCCUGCCAGAUGAAUGGCAACUUCUGGCGAAAUAUGAGGGUUAUUGAUGAGCUGAACAAGGUUCAUAAGUGGAACAUCACUGUGGCCGAUGUUCUAGGUCAUUUCUGUUUUAAACGAUAUGCGAAAGUAGAAGGUGGGGGUUACAACAUGCAGGUUUGACCUGAACGACUACCCCUUAUCUUUCCAGUUAGCAGUGAGCAGUGGUGGAAGGAAUCCGUGUUGUUCACUAGGCGAGUUACCGAGGAUGACCUUUUGUUACAGUAUGUCACAAGGAAUGUGUGUGAUGAUCGUAAGUGCUGAGGUCGUUUCGAGAUUUUAACUUUCAACCUGCUUCAUUUCUUUAAUCUUUUGUUGUCUUUUGCAGCUAUCAAGGACGAUUCUUCCAUAAGGAAUCUUGAGCUUCAGUCAUGUUUGAACAUUUUUUGUUCUUGGGCAGAUGAAAAGAAGAUCAAAUUACUGCCUCAUUUGGAGGAAUAUUUUGUUCCCAAAGGUGGUUCGAAGAUAGUUGCGGACGAGCUCGAGAGAAGAAAGGUUCUUAGGUCGAAUUUUAUGGCAAGCGUGAGGAAGUGUGGCAGCAAGAAGCAGAAGGUAGGGACGAGUAGCAAGGCUGUGGAUUUGGAGGCUCCCCGUAUUUUUCACCCCCAACGUCUAUGCCGAAGUUUUCUGCUAGCUCAAAAGGAAAGAAAAGAUCUUUGUCUAGUGUUGUGAAGCUCGGUCCUCCUCCUGUUGUUAUUCUAGCUGGGGAUUCCCCUAAGCCUGGUUUGGUCGAUGACAACUUUGCUCGUAAGUCUGUAGCUCGUGUUGCUGGCAAAGGGAAAGAAAUGUCUGCUCCCUUUCUCUCUGGUCCCAUUUCUUAUAAGGGUAGGCAAGGGGAGAGUCUUCAGGUGUUGAACAAUGAUAGCACUCUUUCAAAUCCCCUUGGCUAUCGGGCCAUUAAUGAAGCUAUGGUUCUGGACGGCGAUUAUCAGGUCGUUAGGGGUCAAUCGUUGUCUCACACAUGCUCAAAGAUCAAUUAUACCAUCGCACUUGUAAGUGUGCACUUGUAUCUGUCGUUAGCGUUCAAUCCUUGUCUCAAACAUGCAUGAAGAGCAAUUAUGCCAUCGCACUUGUAAGUAUGCACUUUUAUCUGUCUUUCAAAAUGAGUUCUUGGUAUGGCACUGACGAUUUAUUUUUUUUACUUCCCAGUUGAACAGAUCGUUUCGGGAGGUGAGGGGCAUAGCUGAGGCAGGGGCACAGGCCGAUUGACCUGGAUUUGAAACGAGCUAAGGAUGAUCUCCAUAAUGCUUGAAAUGAAGGAGAAAGAGGCUUCAGAAUACGAGCAGACUAUACAUGAGCUGAAGGUUGCUUUGUAGAAGUCUUGUAAGAGUAUUCCCAAUGUAGGGUGGAUUUAUCCACCUCCACAUAGGUGCCACAUGUGCGCCACUAGGAUAAAUCCACCUUGCUGACUCAAAGUGGGAUUGUAAAAGGUGGAGAGUUUCCAAGGGAAGGUGGACUCUUUGGGAGAGAAAGUGGAUUUUUUAAGAAAAUCGGACGGCAUGUGACAUGCCGUCCCAAUUUUUUUGCCUAAAGAAUAGGUCCGAGAGUCUAACAAACUUAAAACACUUAUUAAAAGUUAGAAGAAAAAAAAAGGAUGGCAUGUCACAUGUUGUCCGUUUCUUUCCCACAAGGUGGAUUCUCCCACCUUGAAAUCUGCAUGUGGCUUCCCACCUUUGAAAAUCAACCUUCCAUUGGAUUGUUAUUUUCUGAUUUAAGGUUGAUUUAUCCACCCCACCCCCCAAAUCCAUCUUGCACUGGGAAUGCUCUAAGGAGUGUGAAAAGAACGAUCAAGCUUGGCAAACGCAUUGUGACAUGUUGAGGGGACAGCUGGAGGAAUUGGGAUCGCCCAAGGGAGAGGAGACGUCGGUUGCUCGCACUCUUCUGUCCAUUGAUAUGCAGCUUCUUUUUUAGAAUUUGAAGUAUUGGUCGACAUUUAUCGGAUGCUCUAGAAAUGAAUCUAUUAAGAGCUGAAACCAUGUCGUUGAGUUUUUGUAUCUUCUUCUUAGUCUUUGGACUAGACAUAUCGACCAGGGCUCUAAUCUGAUCCGGGUUUGCUUCGAUUCCUCUUCUUGUGACUAGGUAACCGAGAAACUUCCCUGAUGCGAUCCCAAAUAAACAUUUCUUUGGAUUGAGUCUCAUCUUGUACUGUUGUAAUCUUUGGAAUGUCUGAUCGAGAUUAGUCAAGUUGUUCUGCUCGUAAUCGCUCUUGACUAGCAUAUCAUCUAUGUAGACCUCUAUUGUUCGACCUAGCAGGUCGUCGAACAUUUUGGUUACCAACCGUUGGUAGGUCGUUCCUGCGUUUCUGAGGCCAAAAGGCAUAACCUUGUAGCAAAAGAUUCAUUGUUCAGUGGUGAACGAGGUCUUGACUUGAUCGGGCUCGUGCAUAAGGAUUUGGUUAUACCCUUAAUAUCCGUCCAUGAAUGAUAGGAGUUCGAAACCGCAGGUCUGAUCGACUAGUCUAUCGAUUCGUGGGAGUGGGAGUAAAUCUUUAGGACAAGCUUUGUUCAAGCUUGUGAAGUCGAUGCAGACUCUUGCCUUCCCAUUCUUUUUCAAGACUGGAACUAUCAACCAAUCUGUUGUGUUGACCACUUUAAUGAAUCCGGCAUGUUUGAGUCUAUUAAUUUCAUCGUUAACGGCCUGAUGAAAUUUGGGAGCAAGUCGCUUUGGUUUUUGUUUAACAGGUCGAUAAUUAGGGUCUACUUGUAACUUAUGGCAUGCAAUUGAGGGAUCUAUACCAGGCAUAUUGUUAUACGACCAAGUAAAAACAUCUUUAUUAAAAGAAAGAAAAUUUACAAACUCAUUGUACUUAUUUGUUCCUAACUCUGAGCCCACAUAAACGUACUUGGGGUCGUCAUCUGACGCUAAGUUCACUUGUACUCCAAGAUCUGUGCUUCCAAGUGAGAGUUGAAAGGAUCUCAUUUGCUCCUUCUGUGGUUGUUAUUUGGCUGUAUCUGUGGCCUCUGCUUUUCCCUUGGCAGUAUUCUUGGUUGGAGUUGCGACUUCCUUGUUGGCUGAAGUCGUUGGCUUUUCAUUUGUAACAACUUCUAUGAUUCCAUGACAUUCUUGAGUUGCGUUCUGGUUUCCUAUGAGUUCCAUUAACCCAUUGGGACCAGGAUAACAGAAGACUUGGUGGUAAGUUGAUGUUCCUCGCAUGGAGUGGAUCCAUUUGCGGCCAAGUAUUGCAGUGUACUUGCUCGCAAUGUUGAGAACGCUGAACUUGGUUGUGUCUGAGAUCGUAUCUUCUUUUCUGCCAACAGAAACGGGCAGUAGUAUCUCUCCUUUUGGGUCGUUUCUUGAACUAUUGAAGCCCAAGAUCGGAGUGAAAUCAGGAAUGAGGACUGAAUCACGGAGUCUCAUAUCCUUGAAGGUCUUGUACAUCAAUAUGUUGAAGGACGCUCCUGGGUUGGUCAGGACCCUCUUGACAGUGUAGUAACCUAUCCUUAACUCAAUGGCUAGGGCGUCGUUGUGUGGGGUUAAAACCUUGUUGAGGUCGUCUUCUAUGAAGCACAAGUUUAUCUCUUGUCCGGCAGGAAUGCUGGUUCGUGUUGCACGACCUGUGAUGGAGUAGACAUGGUGAAGAUGUUUGACACGCCUUUUCUUUUCCCUUGGAAUUGUUGUGGAGUUGGAUUCAUAAAUCAUGUAAAUAAAACGACUUUCUGUCUCAUUAUAUUCUUCUAUUCUGUUCGCGACCUGCUUGUUGAUUUGGUCACGUAGGUCACCAGUGGGACCUAAUCUUCUUGAGAGGUUGCGCCCUCUGUUGUCUGUUGGACUUGAGGAAGCAACUCUUGGUUAACUUUGAGAUCGUUUAUAAGAACGUGGAGGGGUUCUGGAUCUCUUCUUGUUUUUUUUUUUCUCCAGAAUUGUCUUGCCUAUUGUAGAUCCAGUUGUUCAGCCUUUUUUCAUCAGCCCUCUGAAGAACUCGCUUUAUUAUGCGGCAAUCAUCUGUUUGAUGGCACCUCACCUUGUGGACCUUACAGUACGGACGACCACCUGUGUCCUCGAGUGAUGUGAAAUCUGGAAACUCGUGCCAGUGGUGAAUCGUUGAUUCUCAUAGAUAUAUCUUACAGGUCGUGGUGUAAAUCGGUGGUAUUCCCACUGCUCGGUGGGUAGUGGAUUAGCUUUGAACCUCAUGUUCUUUUCUGAUCGAGAGCCUUUGGUGGAGCUCCCUUCUACGUUCGCUAUAACAUGGUUUUUCACCUUUCCGACCAAGGUUUCUUCCAAUUUGAUAUAAUGAUCUACCUUGAGAUAGAGCUCGUCGAGAGAAGUUGGCCUUUUCAUGGCCAAUGGUUUAUGGAGGUUGGAUCCAGGGAUCAGACCAUAGAAGAAUGUUAUGGCCGCAAAGGGUUCAUGGUCAUUUGCAAAGUCUUGAAUGGAGUGCAGUUCAAUUUUGAAUCGAGCGAAGAAAUCACUCAGCAACUCCCCCUCUCUACCUUGAACAUUGCGUCGAUGGUGACUGGACGCUUUUUGUUAUGAAUGUUGAAGAUGACGAACUACUUUUCGAGCUCGUUAAACGAGCUGAUUGAACCUGGUUUGAGGCGAAGGAACGAAAAAUGUGCUGGUCCAGUGAGACUGGAUUGGAAUAGUAGACAUAGCAAGUGGUCUUCCUUGAUUAGUGGAAGCGACUUGCAGAAGCUUUUGAUAUGAUCUAUUGGAUCUCCAAUGCCUAUGUACUGAUUGAACUUUGGUGCAUUGAGUUUGCUUGGUAGGUCUUGCUCUAGUUUCUCCUUUGUGAACGGGGACUCCUGAAAGUGCUGCAGAGACUAGAUUGCGAGCUGCUCUGCUGUGCGACCUCUGCCAAACUGGUUUGCGGCCUGGGAGGCUAUGAAUUCAGUGAGUUGCUGACUGAGUUCUUCAUAUUUGUAGUUGUUGUUUGUGACAAUGACUCAUCUCUGGUCAUUAGUUGUGUCAACAUUACUUGCAGCCUUGAGUUGAUCCCUCAGCUCUUGGAUAAUGUCGUUUUGGUUAGCCAUUCGUGAAUUGGAUAGUGGUUUGUGAUUUUGAGUUGGGCGGGAGGAUUGGUUUUUCGAUAUAAUCGAAUCCUUUCAGUCGGCGCCAAAUGUAUUAAUUUAUUUCCAGAUUAAUGUAUUAAUUGGGUCAGGUCGUUGUUGGCAUGACCUAGAUGGGAUAUUGAGAUCAGGGGUGGCUGCACCUCGAUGAGGUCGAGAUUGCCUACGUACUCUAGCUCGAGAGAAUGGAAUUGAAGUUAGAGAUCAAACCAUUAUAGUUCUGUUCUUAUAGAAGGUGAAAGGACGCAGAUCAUUGGAUUAUGCAGAUUUCUGACAUCUAUUGAUUACGUGAUAUCUGGCAAUAAAUAUGUAACGGACCAAGAUAUUCUCUGAGCAUUGAUUAAAGGCACGUGUCUGUGAUGAGGUCGCCAAUGGUAACAUGGUCGAGCUGCAGUGGUCAGAUCAGAUGAGGUUGUAACUUGUGCGACCUGGUGGACUGUUGAAUUAUGCCACGACGCGUGUCGUGUUUUGUUUGGAUGUUGUAUGUAGUACCCCUACAUCAAUAUAUAUUUUACUAUUGGAGAAGAUAAUACAAAACUCUCAAGUAAUGGAAAAACCCUAGGUUUCCUACUUUCUCAAAUCCUCACAACACUUUCAAAGAGGCAACCACCUAUUAAGUAUUCCAAACUCUCUUUCACGUUCUCGUUGAUGGAGACGAUCUUACAAAAUGCUCGUGAAGAAACUAUUGUUGUAUUCAUUCACAUAAGGAAUUCUCUCUCAAACGUUUUUCAAUUGUUUCUCACACUUCUCAUUAAGGAUUUCGAACAUAAUUAGGCUUUAUACAAAACCUUACGAGUCCAUUUAGAUUUACCACGUUAUAGGCCAAAUUGGGCCCAUACACGUUUUACAAACAAACUGGCCAGAAUGUCUAGUGACAAUAUCUCUGACAAUUCAAUACUUAGCCAAAUUUUCACAACCUGGCAGAAAUCUUCAGCGACACUUUUUCAUGUCCGAACUUCAGAGGCAAAUUCCAGCAAACUACUGCGAACAAGAAAGCAAGCCAUAUACCAUUAGAAAGCUAGAAACCUCUACUUUCCCAAAGACGAAUCUGGAUUCCAAUGAUCGAACACAAAGAUAUAUCUACUUACCCACAUCCAUACACACAGAAAAACCCAACAAGAAAGAAAGAAAAUAUAUGGAUAACUAAAAUAAGAUAACAAAAUAGGCCUAUCUACCUAAAAAGGCCUUUCAGGUUAGUCCUUCUCAACAAUCAAUAUCCCGAUAGAAAAUUUCUCUCUCCUCCAACUAAGAAAUUUGACAUGCCAAUUGAUGUAUAUGCCAAAUAAACAUAUCAAGGUCGGGUCAACAUGUACCUACUAGAAGAACUUGUUCAGGCGUCUUAACCUUGGAGUCUUUAAGUCUUUAAUGUAGAUGACUUCAAAUCUUCCGAGGUCUUCAAUAUCUUAAGUCUUCAUGGUCCCUAGAGGUCUUCAAUGUUUGAUUGUCUUCAUACAAGAUCACUACUCACAAAGUCUCAUAACAUGUGAGUUUACAUAUAAUGACUUUAAUACAUUUAACAUAAUUCAUAAUGCAUAGAAAUAUGACUUUACAAAAUGGUACUAAAUCCUAACUCCAUUUUUCACCGUUUUAGUCCGAUACAACAAUAUUAUUGGGGCGGAGUUCAUGGAUCUUGUGGGUUACUCAAAAUUUUGAGGUAUUUUACUCUGAUCUAUACUAUGCAUUUAUAUUUAUGAAACACUUUUUGGAAUUUUGCGUUGAGUGUUUUCCAAGCUAGGUAGUCAUUUAUUGGGUGAUACUAUGUGAAUGUAUCUGAAGUAACACACGAUAAUAUUACUCCUUUUAAGUUUGAGUUGUUUCCUGUUUAAGUAGGAGCAUUUGACUGAAGAGAUAUCUUUUUAGUCACUAGGCAGUCAUUUAUUGGGUGAUACUAUGUGAAUGUAUCUGAAGUAACACAUGAUAAUAUUACUCCUUUCAAGUUUAAGUUGUUUCCUGUUUAAGUAGGAAUAUUUGACUGAAGAGAUAUUUUUUUGAGUUCACUUGGCCCCGAAAGAACUCUGGAGUUAAGCGUGCUCGAGUGGGAGUAGUCUCAAGAAGGGUGAUCUCCUGGAAAGCUUUGUUGCUCGUAAAACCCCACACUGUCGGAGGUCCACAAUGGCUAAGUGGGGACAAUAUCGGGGGUGAUAUAGGGUGGAUUGUUACACACGUUGCACUUUUGUUAUAGAACUUAUGGGAUGUCUUUUCUUGUAAUGUAACAUUCAACCAAGACAUCUUUUUAAUCAUCAAUGAAAAUUCAUUCAUAGAUAUGAUGUAAAAUGACUUUAACGGGCUAUUAGAUUAUUGAAGGUUAACUUGAAAUCCUUUCUUUAUAAGAAAAUAUGUUGCUCAUUGGUUCGAUACAUAAUAUUUUCUCUUCCCCCUUAUUAAUGUUGGAAAAACAGAUCUGACAGACCUUGUCAGACUGUUUUCUCUUGUAUUGAAUGAACCAAGUGUUUUACACUUAGUCUCACAUGAGUUGCGGGAAAUGGGUAAAGAUGUUCAAAUACAAAAUUGUUACACUAAGGGUGUAGCCCUUUGGGUUACCAAGUUUUCGGGUGAUAGCGCAAGGCUAUAAACUUAGUUGUCCACCACACGCGCGCCGCCGCUGACCGACUCGGGAUCGGGAUCGGGAUAUAAGAUAACUUAUCUUUUUGGUCCACCUUUUAUUAAGUUAAAUUGUGAAUAGGUUCACUGGAUCAUAUUAUAUCUUUACACUAACAGAGGUGUCUGUUCAAAAUGAAAUAGUGCGUCCAAUGGUCUCACCCGUUUCAUUAAGUCUGCCAAAAGAUGUGCAUGUUAAGAAAAGACGUUUUCCAACAGAUGCGUGUCUGUUGUGAACAUGCAUGACUUGGCCUAUAAAUUAAGUGUUGUUCUGGCCAGUAAGCACACAAUUCAUUCAGACUAAGUCUGCCUCUCUCUCUGCCUCUCUCUCUCUCUCUCUCUCUCUCUCUCUCUCUCUCUCUCUCUCUCUCUCUCUCUCUCUCUCUCUCUCUCUCUCUCUCUAUAGAAUUCGAAGUGUUCUUCUUAUUUGUUCGCCAGUACUCUGCUAUUACAGUGCAGUCUAGCAGAGUGUAGAACAGUUGUAUCUUGGGAGACUAUCGUCUAGUUUCUCUGUGCACCAGUAGCAGGGACGUAAUAUUGUCUUGCGGAUAGUGUCUCGGCAAGCCUCUGUUCAUAUCCUUAAUCAUCAAGUUGCGUAGUAUGUGUUACUGUAAUUGUGAAUUUAUUUAAUAUAUAUAUUAUUUGUUUUCUGUUUGAAUUAGUACAUUCUCUAUUUUUGUAAUACGUAUGUUAUCUUCCUGAGUUCAUACAAUAUAAUCCCAACAGACUUAAGACAAUAUUAAAAGUUGGUUUUUGUGUGAAAUUAUUAGGAAAAAUGACGAACAGUUCUUCUUUGAAGACUACUGAAGUGCCCGAUCUGACUAAGAUCAAGAUCAUCACUCCUCAAGAUAAGCCAAAGAAAUUCAAGGGUGUGGAUUUCAAAACAUGGCAGAGCAAGAUGUUGUUCUAUCUGACCACCCUCGGUUUGGCAAAGUUCUUAUCUGAAGAUACUCCUGAAGCCAAACCUGGUCAGACCGCUGAAACAGACAAGGAAGUAUUCUAGGCUAUUGAAGCAUGGAAGCACUCUGAUUUCCUUUGUCGCAAUUAUGUUCUGAAUUCGGUUGAUGAAGUGUUGUACAAGGUUUAUAAACCUAUUGUUACUGCCAAAUUAUUGUGGGAGGCUCUAGAAAAGAAAUAUAAGACUGAGGAUGCUGGUCUCAAGAAAUUUGUGGUCGAUAAAUUUAUGGACUGCAAAAUGAUUGAUUCUAAGUCUGUUUCUGAUCAAAUCCAAUAAUUCCAGAUCAUCUUACAUGAAGUCCAUAGUGAGGGCCAUGUAAUUGGUGAGACUUUCCAAGUGGCAGCAAUCAUUAGAAAGUUGCCUCCUUCUUGGAAAAAUUUCAAGCAUUAUCUGAAACAUAAGCGCAAGGAAAUGAGUCUGGAUGAUCUGAUAGUGCGACUGAAGAUUGAAGAGGACAAUAGGGGUACUGAAACCCGAAGUACCUUUAAGGCUAAGGCUGUAACACCCCAGGUCGGCAAGUUGUUUGCCGAGGGGGUGGGUCCUACGGCACCUAAGAGGGGGAUGUCCUGACAUUAGAAUAUAGGUAUAGAUUCGUCAUAUAUUAUCACCAAGGUUUUUUGGGCUCACUUAGCUCCAGUGUUCGAAAGAACUCCGGAGUUAAGCAUGCUCGGGUGGGAGUAGUCUCAGGAUGAGUGACCUCCUGGGAAGCAGACUGCUGCGCAAUAAAACCCCACAUUGUCGAAUGUCCGCAGUGGCUAAGUGGGGACAAUAUCGGUGGCGAUAUAGGUAGGGUCGCUACAAAUGGUAUCAGAGCCGACGACGGUUCUCCUGUCGAGGGUGGGAGAGUAUCCUGGAAAGGCGCCUAGCCCGGUAAAGGGGUGACGGUUGCGCCGGGUACUCGUCUCGCGAGGGGCAGGGAACAUCGGAGAUCUGGAGCUGUAUAUUCCAGAGCCGAGGACGGCUCUCCUCUAAGGUGGUGGGAUUGUAACACCCCGGGUCGGCAGUGUCAUAUAUUAUCACCGGUCCUUUUGGGCUCACUUGGCUCCAAGGUUCGAAAGAACUCCGGAGUUAAGCGUGCUCGAGUGGGAGUAGUCUUAGGAUGGGUGACCUCCUGGGAAGCAGGCUGCUGCCGAAUAAAACCCCACACUGUCGGAUCUCCACAGUGGCUAAGUGGGGACAAUAUCGGUGGUGAUAUAGGCCGAGUCGCUACAAAGGCACAUGUGGUGGAGACCACAAAGCAAACUAAGACCUCCUCUAAGAAGAAAAUCAGUCCAACAAUGCACCCAAGGACAAAGGUCAAAAAAAGUUCAAGGGAAGCUAUUUUGUUUGUGGUAAGAAAGGUCAUUUGGCCAAAGAUUGCCAGCACCGCAAAGACGAAAAGGCUCCUUAGGCGAACAUGACUGACAUAUCCAAGGAGAUUGACAACAUGCACCUGUCUGCGGUGGUUUAUGAAAUGAACAUGGUAUCUAAUACCAAGGAAUGGUGGAUAGACAUUGGGGCUACCCGCCUCAUCUGUGCUGACAAGAGCCUCUUCUCUACCUAUCAGAAGUUGGAGCAUGAAGAAAAGCAUUUAUGGGCAAUUUUACAGUUUCAAUGGUUGAAGGCUAUGGGAAAGUGGUUCAAAAAUUCACUUCUGGACACAAAGUCACUCUCAAUGACGCUCUUUAAGGCAAGAAAGGUUUCAAAAAUGGUCUUUGCGUCAGAUAAGUUUGUGCUGACCAAAGGUGGGAUGUAUGUGGGCAACAAGUAUCUACUAAAUUGCCUCUUUAAGGUAAAUGUAGCCGUUGUUGAAACCAACAAGGCAAUUAUGUACUCUGAUUUUAUGAAUAAGAUUAAUUCUUCUUACUUACUUGAGUCACCACAUUUAUGGCAUGAUAUAUUAGGUCAUAUUAAUUAUAGAAAAAUAAAGAAACUAGCAAUUUUAGGAUUAAUUCCUAAAUUUGACAUAGAUAAAACACAUAAGUGUGAAACUUGUGUGGAAGCAAAGUUUGCAAAACAACCUUUUCAUUCGGUUGAGAGAAGUACUGAGCCAUUAGGCUUAAUACAUACUGAUUUAUGUGAUUUUAAAUCAAUUCCAACUCGAGGUGGGAAAAAGUAUUAUAUCACAUUUAUUGAUGACUGUACUCGCUACUGUUAUGUAUAUUUACUUAAUAGUAAAGACGAGGCUUUAAAUACAAAACUAAAGUUGAGAAUCCGUUAGACAAGAAAAUCAAGAUCAUAAGAUCUAAUAGAUGGGGUGAAUACGAAUCUCCAUUCGUCCAAGUCUCUACUGAAAAUGGAAUAAUCCAUCAAACCACAACACCCUACUCACCUCGGCAAAAUGCUGUUGCUGAAAGGAAAAACAGAACUUUAAAAGAUAUUCUCAAAGAAUGUAGCAUCACGAGAUUCAAUAAUAUGUCUAAUCACAUAUUAAACAGAGUACCACACAAGAAAAAUAAAACCAUUCCAUAUGAGUUAUGGAAAGGACGACAACCCAACUAUAAAUACCUUAAAAUUUAGGGGUCUUGCCAAAGUUAUGUUUUCACCACCUAAGAGAACUAAACUUGGGCCUAAAACAGUUAAUUGUUAUUUUUUGGGUUUUUCCCAAAAUAGCAUACAGAUUUUUGGUAUUUAAAUCAGAAAAUAGUGACAUAAGUGUUAAUACUAUUAUUGAAUCUCGUGAUGCUACAUUCUUUAAGAAUAUCUUUCCUCAUAGGAAAGAUCAUGUAGACAAAACUCCAAAAACGGACACAUGAGGUGUCUAAUGAAACAAAUGAACCAGAUGACAAUUCAGAUGAGCUUGAAUUAGAAGAGCCAAGACGUAGUAAAAGGGCAAGAACUUCGAAGUUAUAUGGUCUAGAUUUUUUAACUUAUAUGUUAGAAACUGAACCUAGGACGUAUAAAUAAGCAAUGUUUUCUCCUGAUGUUCCACUUUGGAAGGAAGCAAUUGCAAAUUAAAUGAGAUUGAAUCCAUUCAAAGCAACAAUACUUGGGAAUUGGUUGAUCUUCCACAAGGAAGUAAAACCAUGGGGUAUAACUAGAUAUUCAAAAGAAAAUUGAAACCAGAUGGUUCAGUUGAUAAGUAUAAAGCUAGACUAGUAGCAAAAGGGUAUCGUCAAAAGGAGGGCUUAGACUAUUUUGACACAUAUUCACCAGUAACGAGGAUAAUAUGAAUUAGAAUGUUAUUCGCGAUUGCAGGCAUAUUUAACAUGGAAGUACAUCAAAUGGAUGUUAAAACUGCAUUCUUAUAUGGUGACUUAAAAAAGGAGAUUUAUUUGGCACAACCAGAAGGUUUUCAAAUCAAGGGAAAAGAAAACAAAGUAUGUAAACUGGUUAAAUCCCUCUAUGAUCUUAAACAGGCUCCAAAACAAUGGCGUAUAACCAUUAAUGGAGUCAUGAUCAAGAAUGGGUUCCAAAGCAAUGAAUGUGACAACUGUGUCUAUUUCAAGAAAGUAGGCGAGGCUUACGUCAUUGUUUGUCUAUAUGUCGAUGACAUGCUCAUUUUUGGGACUAAUAGUGAAGUUAUCAAGUCUACGAAAAAGAUGCUCAAAAACAACUUUGAAGUGAAAGAUUUAGGUGUCGCAGAUGUUAUCUUGGGAAUUAAGAUAAUUCGAACACCUAAUGGAAUUGGGCUAUCUCAAACUCAUAAUAUUGAGAAAAUGAUAGAGAGGUUCAAACAUCAUGGAAUUAAAAAGACAAAAACACCCUUUGUUCCAAAUAUGGUUUUACAUAAAAAUCAUGGUCCUACCAUUGAUCAACUCGAGUAUUCUCGAAUCAUUAGUAGUUUAAUGUACGUUAAGAACUGUACAAAACCUGAUAUUGCCUCUGCAGUUGGUAAACUAAAUCGGUUUACAAGUAAUCCAGGCCAAAAACACUGGGUUGCUCUUCUGCAAGUGUGAGGUUAUUUAAAAGAUACACCUAACUAUACCUUACACUAUGGAAGAUAUCCAAGUGUUAUUGAAGGUUAUACAGAUGCGAACUGGAUUUCUGAUACCGGAGAAUCCAAGGCAACCAGUGGGUAUGUGUUUACUUUGGGUGGUGGUGCAGUAGCAUAGAGAUCCCAAGCAAACAUGCAUAGCAAGAUCCACAAUGGAAUCUGAAUUUAUAGUUUUAGAUAAAGCCAGUGAAGAAGCUGAAUGGCUUAGGGGUUUCUUAGAAGAUAUCCCAUUAUGGCCGAAGCCUGUGUCGAUCAUAUGUAUCCAUUGUAACAACCAAGCAGCUCUAAGCAGAGCUCAAAACUUUAUAUAUAAUGGUAAAUCACGACAUAUACGUCGUUGACAUAAUAACGUGAGACAGUUACUCUCACAUGGAAAUAUUUCCAUUGAAUAUGUGAAAUCACAAGAUAACCUAGCGGAUCCAUUUACUAAAGGUUUAUCUAAAGAGAAAAUUGACUACGCAUCGAGGGGAAUGGGGCUCAUGCCUCAAUAACCACGAGUUACCUUAUACGGAAACCUAACCUAACGACUGGAGAUCCCACAGACUAGGUUCAAUAGGACAACCAGUUAUGAGUAACUCACUAGGAGCACUUGGGAGAUUUUCUCUAUCCCAUUCCUAUGAUGCAACAAGUGCGACCUACAGUGUAGUACAGGUUAAACUAUGCUUUUAAUGACGCCUAUAUCUUGUGAAAUACAAGUGGGGUAUAGUAGGAUACAUUUAAUAGGAGCGGUCACCUAUGUUAGUGAGAGCUGGGUCGGCUCUAUGAGAUUUCUUAAAGGCAGAAUAUCUCUAGUAGCACUCGCAGAACCUAAGAUCGUUCAGGGCCAAAAUGAACACAACCGAGACUUAAACAAGAAUCGGGAUAACAUUGUGCAUGGCUUAUUGUCUUGAUUUACACCAACAGCUGACAGUUCAAGAUGAAAUAUUUCACUGAUUAGCUAAGUAUCCGAUAAGCCUAUGCUACGGAAGGUUCAAAGUGAAAUAUCUACCUAUCCCGAGGCAAUGUUGUUCCAACAUACUCUUCGAAGAAGCUUUUGAGAAUUUGUAGACGGAUUUCAUUCAAUGUGGGGGAUUGUUGGAAAAACAAAUCUGACAGACCUUGUCAGACUGUUUUCUCUUGUAUUGAAUGAACAAGUGUUUUACACUUAGUCCCACAUGAGUUGUGGGAAGUAGGUAAAGAUGUUCAAAUACAAAAUUGUUACACUAAGGGUGUAGCCUUUUGGAAUACCAAGUUUUCGCGCGAUAGCGCAAGGCUAUACACUUAGUUGUCCAUCACACACUGCCACCGUCCGUCCGCCCGUCUCGGCUCGGCUCGGGCUCGGGCUUGGUUGAUAAGAUAACUUAUCUUUUUGGCCCACCUUUUAUUUAGUUAAAUUGUGAAUCGGUUCACUGGAUCAUAUUAUAUCUUUACAUUAACAGAUGUGUCUGUUCAAAAUGAAACAUUACGUCCAAUGGGUCUGACCCGUUUCAUUAACUCUGCCAAAAGAUGUGCUUGUUUGACCCGUUUCAUUAAGUCUGCCAAAAGAUGUGCCUGUUAAGAAAAGACGUUUUCCAACAGGUGUGUGUCUGUUGCGAACAAACACGAUUAGCCUAUAAAUUGAGUGUUGUUCUGGCCAAUAAGCACACAAUUCAUUCAGACUAAGUCUGCUUCUCUCUCUCUCUCUCUCUCUCUCUGGAAUUCGAAGUGUUCUUCUUGUUUGUUCGCCAGUACUCUGCUAUUACAGUGCAGUCUAGCAGAGUGUAGAACAGUUGUAUCUUAGGACACUAUCGUCCAGUAUUUGUGUGCACCAGUAGCAGGGACGUAAUAUUGUCUUAAGGAUAUUGCCUCGGCAAGCCUCUGUUCAUAUUUUUAAUCAUUAAGUUGUGUAGUAAGUGUUACUGUAAUUAUGAAUUUAUUUAAUAUAAAUAUUAUUUGUUUUUUGUUUGAAUUAGUACAUUCUCUGUUUCUGUAAUACGUGUGUUAUCUUCCUGAGUUCAUACAAUAUAAUAUAAUCCUAACAAUUAACAACAACGAAUUGAGCAACAGGACACGAUUCCAAAUGGGUUUAGUCAUAAGGGAAAACUUCAAAUUGAAAUAGUUUGCACGACAUACAAUUUUUUGGACAUAAAUAUCUCUCUAUGUGAAGUUUUUCCAUGUUUUUCGAAUAAACCAAAUCUCCUUCUUCUGCGUUCUUUUAACUCAGUGUUUUCUUCCUCAUUCUCUAACUUUGUUCUUCCUCAAGUAUAAUGAAAUAAGUUUCUUUCUUCGUUGUUCGUCUUUUUUUUUGUAGAAUCUUCGUUCAUUCAUCAAUGACAAGACUAAGAAAGCUUGAGUUACUCGAAAGUCGAAACCCAUAACUAAUUAUUGAAGUGGGUAAGUAUUAUAAGGUUCAUCAAUGGCUGAAAAAAUAGAUAUUGAUGGAGAACAAUCUGUGAGUAUUGAAGAAAGCACAUACAUGGGUUGUGAUAAUGUACGAAAUACAAAGAAAUGGUUAUUAAUGGAGAACCAUCUGAUUUUUAAUUGUAAUUAUGAACAUGAGAACUAUUGUAAUGAUUAAUUGUGAUUUUCAAUUGACAACAAAACUACGUAUUUUACGGUUUUCUCACGGAGAAGAAGAUUGAGUCAACUCAAUUUUUUGUGUCAACUCAGUUAUCACUAUAAUUGUGAUUACAUCAUGUUAUCAGUACUAUAUUUGUCUUUGAAAAAUAAAGAUGAUAACAUCAUGUUAUCACUGGACUGGUCUUUGAUAUCAUCAUGUUAUCAAUUUUGUAUUUUAUUUGUAAAAAACUUAAAGUAGAUAACAUUAUCCAAUUUUUUUUUUUUUUUGUUUUUUUUUUUUUGUGGGAUUUGUGGGACAAAUAAAACACCACCACGUAUGGGUGCUGUUAACCCUAGUAGGAUUUGAACAAGUUACCCAACUAAAUUUAUAUACACAUAUGAGAUAAAUAAAACACUACCACGUAUGGGUGUGGUUAACCCUAGUGGGAUUUGAAUAAGCUGAUAACAUCAUGUUAUCAUUGUACUUGUUUUUGACAACAUGAUGUUAUCAAUACAAUUGUGAUAACAUCAUGUUAUCAUUGUAGUUGUCUUUGAAAAUUAAAGUUGAUAACAUCAUAUUAUCAUUGUAGGUGAUAACAUCAUGUUAUUACUGUAAUGUUUCAGAAUUCUAAUAUAAUUUUUCUGAUUAACAGUAUAGUUCAAUUAGUGACGAAGAUAAAGAUGAAGAAUAACAGGACAAAAAUAAAAAACAACCAAUAGAGGAAAAACAAGAAGAAAAACAAGUGGGAUAUUCUCUUUAUUGAAAUCUUCUACUAAAAAAUGUCUACAAGUAUUUUGUUAGUAAUUGGGUUUCAAUUACUGUUUUGGGGAUCUGAUCUGUUUUGGGGAGAAAACUAAAAGAAACGGGUAGAACUGGUAUUUUAUUUAAAAAUGCCCUUGGGUCUAAAGAAUUUGUUUGUCCUUCGUAUAAGAUCCAUAAGUUUGUCCUUUUCACAGCCACUUUUUUUAUAAUAUCCUUUUGGCCAAACAAGUUUCGAAUUUGGCCUUUUGGCCCAAUUCUCUGUAUUAACAAUUAGAUUGGUCUCAAAUAGACAGGCUCAGAUGAUAGGUUCUUUUCUGUUAUUACUACAGAAAAGCAUUGGUAUAUUAUCACAUAAAAGAGAAUUAUGAUACAUAUCUACAGUACUCUACAGAUAAUUAAAUUUGUAAGUUAUGUGUAUGAUGUUGGGUUUUAUAUGCAUAAUCAGUAGAAGGGGAAGUUUUUGUUCAGGAACGUACGAAUGGCUUUAGGGCGUUCGAACGCCCCGUACGCCAGAUCUUUUUUGGGACGUUCUGUCUGGCGUACGGGGUUAGGGCGUGGUUAGGGACAGAACGUACGAACGUGGUUAGGGCGUUCGAACGUCCCGUACGCCAGAUCUUUGUUACGUGUUGUACACGUACGUACGUGAUUUCGACGUGCGUACGUCCUCCUCCAGUUUUGUGCAAUAUGGGCCUGUUUUGAGCCAAAUUCGUGGCUAGUGUAAGGCUAUACUAUAAAGCCAAAUAGAAGUAUACAAAACCUUAACUUUUCUAAGAGAGAGAUUGUGAGAAGCCAUUAGAGAGUUUGAGAGAACUUUUGUGAAGAAGAAGACUUCGGUUUCUUCAAGAGGGCUUGUACAAUUUUCUUAAGAAGAAAAGCAUCAUCCUUUCUCCCCGUGGACGUAGGCAUAUUGCCGAACCACGUAUAUCUUGUGUCUUGUGUGUGGUUGCUUGUUUACUUUUGUCGUUUUUCGUUUUUACUUUCAUACACUAAUCAUCAUAUUUGUGCAUUAAUCCGCUGCGCACAACAAGUGGCAUCAGAGCUUAGGUUAGAACUUGAGUGUCUAGAAGGUGUUUGUUGAAAUUCCGGAGUGAAUUUCAGAUUCGUUUGGUGAUUGUUUAGUGCAUGAAAGUUGGUGGAAAGAUGUCAAAAGAAGGGAGUUCGAAGAGUUCGAAGGGGGAAACCAAGUCAGUGGUUUACCAUCAAGCAAAAAUUGAUGUAGAGAAGUUUACUGGCACCAAUAACUUUGGCAUGUGGAGGUGUGAGGUAAUGGAUGCUCUAUGUCAACAAGACCUAGAAGAUGUUCUGGAGGAUAAGCCAGAAGAUGUGGAAGAGAAGGAUUGGAAAAAGAUGAACAAACGAGCUUGUGGAAUCAUAAGAUCGUGUUUGGCACAAGAAGUUAAAUAUCUUGUGAUGAAUGAUGUUUCUGCAUAUGAGAUGUGGCAAAAAUUGGAGGAGAAGUACAUGACAAAGACUAUCCACAAUAAAAACUAUCUACUUCGAAAGUUCUAUCGAAUAGAUAUGAGAAGAGGUAUUUCCAUGGCGGAGCAUCUUAAUGAUUUUACCAAGCUACUUGGAGACUUGGCGAAUCUAGGAGCAAAUGUGAGUGAUGAAAGCAAGGCAGUGUGUCUCUUAAAUUCGUUACCUGACGAAUAUGAACACUUGGCUAUCACACUCACAUAUGGGAAAGAAAAGCUGGUGUAUGGUGAGAUUUCUGCAGCAUUGUUAACUCAUGCGUGUAUGAAGAAGGACAAGGAAGAGUCCAAGGGCUCUACACCUGAGGUCUUGGUGACAAGAGGAAGGUCUAGUGACAAGAAAUGCCAAGGUGGUAGAGGGAAAUCUCGGUCAAAGUCGAGAGGUCGAUCUCUAGCAAAGGAUGAAUGCUCCUUUUGUCAUGAGAAAGGGCAUUGGAAGAAAGAUUGUCCUAAAGCAAAGGCGAAGGACAAGAAGAAAAACUCUGAGGUAAAUGUUGCAUGUGAUACUAAAGAUGAUGAUGUAGAUUCUGAUUAUUCUUUAUCCGUUUCAUCAAUGGCUUGUUACACUAGUGGUAAUGAAUGGAUCUUAGAUUGUGCUGCUUCUUAUCAUAUAUGUCCUAUAAGGGAAUGGUUUUCUGAUUUUAAGAAGCAGGAGAGUGGUGUAGUGGUGAUGGGGAAUGAUCAACCCUGUCACAUAAUGGGUACAGGUACCAUUCGUCUGAAGAUGUUUGAUGGAAUCAUAAGGAAGCUGAAAAAUGUUAGGUAUGUUCCUGACAUGAAGAAGAAUCUUAUCUCAGUUGGUACUUUAGAAGCCAAUGGUUACAAGGUGGUACUUGAACAUGGAGUUCUAAAGAUUGUGGCUGGUGCAAUAGUUAUACUCAAGGGUAUUCGACAUAGGAACUUGUACUUCCUUCAAGGUAGUACAGUUACUGGUGAUGUGGCUAUGUCUGAGGCUACAUCGAAGAUUGCUGGAGAGACUACACGGCUAUGGCAUAUGCGGUUGGCGCAUACUGGUGAAAAGUCCUUGCAAAGAUUGAUAAAGCAAGGGUUGUUACAGGGUGCUAUCGCCUGUAAAGUAGAAUUCUGUGAGCAUUGUAUUCUGGGCAAGCAGACAAGAGUAAAGUUUGGCACGACUAUCCAUAAUACUUGUGGAGCUCUUGAUUAUGUUCACACGAUGUCUGGGGACCUACCAAGAAUGCAUCUUGGGGAGGUAAGCAUUAUUUUGUGUCUUUUGUUGAUGAUUUUUCUAGGCAUGUGUGGGUGUACACCAUGAAGAGCAAGGAUGAAGUCCUAGAAAUUUUCAUGAAAUGGAAAAAGUUAGUUGAGACCCGAAUUGACAGAAAGAUCAAGGUACUUCGCUCAGAUAAUGGAGGAGAGUACAAGAAUGAUCCAUUCUUGCAAGUAUGUCAGAAUGAGGGUAUUGAACGCCAUUUCACUGUAAGAGAGACACCGCAGCAAAAUGGGAUGGCAGAACGGAUGAAUCGAACUUUACUGGAGAGAGUUCGGUGUAUGUUGUCUAAUGCUGGGUUAGGCAAAGUGUUUUGGGCUGAGGCUAUUGUGUAUGCCGGUCACCUUAUUAACAGGUUGCCUUCGACUGCGAUUGAUGGCAAAACUCCUAUGGAGGUUUGGUCUGGUAAGCCUGCUUCAGAUUAUUGUUUUCUUCGUGUGUUUGGGUGUCCAGGUUACUAUCAUGUCCGAGAGAGUAAGUUGGAUCCUCGUGCUAAGAAGUCUUUGUUAUGGGUCUACAGAAUGGAGUCAAAGGUUAUAAACUAUGGGAUCCAGAAUUGAAGAAAAUUAUUCUAAGCAGAGAUGUGACAUUUGAUGAGGCUUCUAUGUUGAAGUCUAAAAGCUCUCAGCAGGUGGAGAGCAAGGCCAAAGAGUUUUCGCAGUGGGUGGAGACUGAAAUAUCUCCAUGUGUUCCAGGUGGUUCUGUAUCUUUGGAAACGUCUACUGUAAGGGUUCCAAGAAUUGAGGUUCCUAGUGCUACAGAUUCUGAUGACAUGACAGAAAAUGCGGUUGAUGAUGAGACGGUUGAUGAUACAGUACACGUGGACUCUAAUGAUGAGGGUCCAAUUGCAUCUAGAUUAUCCAAGAGAAAUGCNNNNNNNNNNNNNNNNNNNNNNNNNNNNNNNNNNNNNNNNNNNNNNNNNNNNNNNNNNNNNNNNNNNNNNNNNNNNNNNNNNNNNNNNNNNNNNNNNNNNNNNNNNNNNNNNNNNNNNNNNNNNNNNNNNNNNNNNNNNNNNNNNNNNNNNNNNNNNNNNNNNNNNNNNCUUGUGGAGUUGCCUAAGGGAAGAAGCAAUCGGGUGCAAAUGGGUUUACACUAAGAUGGAUGGGUCUCCUGGUGAAAAUGUACGCUUCAAAGCAAGAUUGGUGGCAAAAGGCUAUGCUCAGAGGGAGGGAAUUGAUUAUAAUGAAAUCUUUUCUCCGGUUGUGAAACAUUCCUCCAUUCGUAUCCUAUUGGCCUUGGUUGCACAAUUUGAUUUGGAGUUAGCUCAGCUUGAUGUGAAAACUGCUUUUCUACAUGGGGGUAAUGACAAGCUGGUGUGUAAAUUGAAGAAAUCGCUGUAUGGGUUGAAGCAAUCUCCAAGGCAAUGGUACAAGCGGUUUACUCGGUUUAUGCUAGGGCAAGGGUACACAAGAAGUCCAUAUGAUCCUUGUGUCUAUUUUCGCAAGGUAUGUGAUGGUUCUUUUAUCUAUUUGCUUUUAUAUGUUGAUGACAUGCUCAUAGCUUCUAAAAGCAACGUGGAGAUAGACAAGUUGAAAAAGACUAUGUCUAUGGAGUUUGAGAUGAAAGAUCUUGGUGAUGCGAGAAAGAUACUUGGCAUGGAAAUUCAGAGGGAUCGAGACAAUGGAAGGUUGUGGUUAUCUCAAAAGGCCUAUCUACAGAAGGUGCUACAGAGAUUUAGCCAAUAUGAGAUUGGUGUAGCUGUGAGUAUACCUCUCUCAAAAGAUUUUAACUUGAAUGCUUCUAUGUCUCCUAAUUCUGAUAGGGAACGUGUUUAUAUGACACGUUAUCCAUAUGCAAGCGCGGUUGGUAGCUUGAUGUAUGCGAUGGUAUGUACAAGGCCCGACAUUGGACAUGCAGUUGGUACUGUAAGUAGGUACAUGCAUAAUCCUGGUGAGAAACAUUGGGAAGCUGUGAAAUGGAUCUUACGCUACAUUCAAGGUAGUGUGGAGGUUGGUUUACUAUUCCAGAAGGGAAGGGAUUUGAAUCAGUUUUGUGUUGGUUAUGUGGACUCUGAUUAUGAUGGUCAAGUAGAGAGACGUCGGUCUACUACUGGAUAUGUUUUUACAUUGGCAGGUGGUCCUAUUAGUUGGAGGUCUACAUUACAAUCUCUUGUUGCUUUGUCUUCGACAGNNNNNNNNNNNNNNNNNNNNNNNNNNNNNNNNNNNNNNNNNNNNNNNNNNNNNNNNNNNNNNNNNNNNNNNNNNNNNNNNNNNNNNNNNNNNNNNNNNNNNNNNNNNNNNNNNNNNNNNNNNNNNNNNNNNNNNNNCUCAGUUUAUCAUGCUCGUACAAAGCACAUUGAUGUGCGACAUCACUUUGUCAGAGAUAUUAUUGAAGAGGGUGAGAUCUUAUUGAAGAAGAUUCAUACUAGUAAUAAUCCGGCUGACAUGUUGACUAAAGUGGUUUUGGGGACUAAGUUCUAUCAUUGCUUAGAUUUGGUCCAUGUUCUUCCUUUGAGUGGAUAGUAUAUUUUGGAAUGAACUACGAUGGCUUGAUCCCUUCGCAGAAGGGUACGUAGGCAACCAUGAGGUGGUGCAGCCGAGGUGGUCUUUCGAGACAUGUGUGGGAGUUUGUGACUUGUGAUUCUUGGUGUCGGCUUAGAUUUAUUGAAUCUUCGCCGAGGUGGAGAAUUGUUGGGUUUUAUAUGCAUAAUCAGGAGAAGGGGAAGUUUUUGUUAUGAAUGGCUUUAGGGCGUUCGUACGUCCAAUGUGCCAGACAACUUUUUCGGGACAGAACGUACGAACGUGGUUAGGGCGUUCGAACGUCCCGUACGCCAGAUCUUUGUUACGUGUUGUACACGUACGUACGUGAUUUCGACGUACGUACGUCCUCCUCCAGUUUUGUGCAAUAUGGGCCUGUUUUGAGCCCAAUUCGUGGCUAGUGUAAGGCUAUACUAUAAAGCCAAAUAGAAGUAUACAAAACCUUAACUUUUCUAAGAGAGAGAUUGUGAGAAGCCAUUAGAGAGUUUGAGAGAACUUUUGUGAGGAAGAAGACUUCGGUUUCUUCAAGAGGGCUUGUACAAUUUUCUUAAGAAGAAAAGCAUCAUCCUUUCUCCCCGUGGACGUAGGCAUAUUGCCGAACCACGUAUAUCUUGUGUCUUGUGUGUGGUUGCUUGUUUACUUUUGUCGUUUUUUGUUUUUACUUUCAUACACUAAUCAUCAUAUUUGUGCAUUAGUCCGCUGCGCACAACAUAUGAUGUGUAGAGCUGCAACUUCUUAUCAAUCAGGAUUUUAGACUGUCCAACUGAUACAGCACGACAUAUCUAUUGGUUUUAUGAACAGAAUUUGGAACAUCUGACAGUUUAUUUUGUCCAUCUCAUGGCUUAUUUCGGUGUGAGAUUUCAAAUUUCAUAAAGUCACUCUUAGAGCAUCUCUAAUGGGUCUCCUAUAUUUGAACGACACAUAGGCAGUUAUGGCUUCCACAUAGGUUCCACGUAAUUUUCUAAAACUUUUUUUGUAGGUCGUCCAUUCCUAUAUCAGGGGUAUCCCUAACACGGACGGGUUUUUUUUUUUUUUUUUAUAAUUUCGGAGAUUUUUCUGUUUUUUUAUUUAGAAAAACAAAUUUUAUUGAUAAGCUAAACGAAUUACACAAAAGUAGAGGACAAACGCGCUACAAACAAAUUUUAUAAUUCUAUCUUCCACUUUUUUUUUUUUUUGCUGGGCUUCGUUUUGGUUGGGCUUCGCUAGUUCAUCUCUCUGCGAUCUAACACUAGACGCAAUCUCCGAUGGCCCCAUACUCAUCCCUUUCCUGCUACUACCAUUACUUAAUCCUAGAAUCCCGCCAAUCUUUUUCGGCAUUAAAGAAACCCCAGAGCUCUCAAUCUUCUUUGCAUUAAUCUCUUCUUUCUCAAGCCGAAGCGAUUCUAAUUUCAAUGAUAACCGACGAAUCUUUUUCUCAAUAUCUUCCAUCUCAGGAUCAAUCUUACUAACAUCACGCAUUUCAUCAUUCCCAAUCUUCUGAUGAUUAAGAAGAAGUCCUUCUUUAAACAAAACCUUUAAUGGUUUCGCAUGAGAAUUUUUCACUGAGGAAUUUAAACAAACAGGUGAUCUACAUAAACCAAAAGAAUGAGAAGGAAUUUCAUUCUCUUUACUUGAAUGAGAAGAAGAAGAAGACAUAUCUAUUAUAUCUCCAUUAUCAAAAGCAGCAUUAUUCCAAAUUUGAACAUCUUUUUCAACAUCAAUUGAACUUGGGUAAUGAAGAACAUUCAUUUUCGCAAAAUGGGUUAUCGAGAAUUUUGAAGAAUGAAUCAAAUUGAAAUGGGUAAUCAAGAUCUUUGUGUGAGAACUGAGAAGAAGAAGAGAGAAGUUUGUGAGGAGUUUUGAUAAUUUGAAAUUUUGCUCGGUUUAGGUGGAAAUAAAUGUUAGAAAUGGUUCCACGCUGGUUAGACCUGCUUAGAACAAACAAAAAAAAAAAAAGUUAAAAUAGUUCCACGCUAGUCGUACUAGCAUGGAAUAAUUAAUUUUGCAUGUCCCCUAUAUUCCUAUCUAUCCAUCGAUUAGCCGGAGUUUUAGCAGACCGGCCCACCACGUCCUACGUGGAUGGCCGGCUGCUAUAUUUUUAGAAGACGCGUUAGGGCUAGGUUUUUUUAGAAAGAAUUUCUAUAAUUUUAGAUAUAGGAGACCAUUAGAGAUGCUCUUAAUAUUGGUUUGAAAUGAAUUGUUUGGGAUUGGCAAGAACAUCUGUUCGAGCUCCUCACGCUAAAAGUUUAAUCUGCACCUCUGACAGCAUAAGCCAAGCUUAACAUAGAUGGUUCUGCCAUUGGAACGCCAACGCUAGCUGGGUAUGGAAUUUUUUAGGGACCCGGGAGGGAACUUCCUUUAUAUUGCCAUUGGAAUAGCUAUCUGGUGUAGAAGCAGUUAUAUAUGUUAUUUGGCUGGAUUUGAAGAUUGAGUCGGCCGGAUUCUUGAAAGCUUUUAAUGAUCAUAAGGUACUGUUGCAAUUCUCAAGUGCUACUGUUGCAAUUCUCAAGUGCAUGGAAGAACAGUUCUUCCAUGCUCAAAUUUUUAUAAAAGUAGCAACUGAUUAUGGCCAUUGGAUCAAGAUUCCAAUUUUGUUUACUUCGAUUAGAGAUUUGUUUUCAUUUAUUUUUCUUUUUAAAUUUUGUAUUGAGAUGGAUGGCAAGGUGGAUUUUGGGGGUGGGGUGGAUAAAUCCACCUUGAAACCUAAAACAAUGUCCCAAGGGGAGGUGGAUUUUGAGAAGUGGCUGCCCACAGGUGGAUUUGAAGGUGGGAGAAUCCACCUGUGGGUGGUAGAACCGGACGGCAUGUUACAUGCCGUCUGUUUUUUUUUUAAGUAUUACGUAGUGUUUUAAAAGUUUUGGACUCUCGGACGGCAUGUCACAUGCCGUCUCCUGGGACGGCAUGUCACAUGCCGUCCGAUUUUUCUAAAAAUCCACUUUCUCUUACCAAAGAGUCCACUCUACGUUGGGAGACUACCACCCAGGUGCAAAUACACCUCUCUCUUUGAGGUGGAUUUUGCCUAGGUGGACCUACGUGGCGCCUACGUGGAGGUGGAUUUAUCCACCCUGCAUUGGGAAUGCUAAGUGUUACCUGGUUUUGUCUAUUAUUUAUAUAAUUUUAGUGGCCAUUGACUUGUAAGCCAUGUUUUGUGACUACUUGUAGUAUUCUAAAUUUCUAAUGGCUAGUUGUUGUUUUAUAUUAUAGCUUUUCUUUUGGUUGUUAGAUCUUAUAGUUUACUUUCACACACACCUUGCAUUUGUAAGUAUAUCUUCUCAACUUCCUCUUGCCAUAAGAGAUUUUAGUUUCUGGUGAAUUGCUAAUCCUUUCUCUUUUGAAAGGAGGUAGUAGAGGAUAUUAGAGUCUUCUUUGACAGGUUCUUUUCUUACUUUGUUUGCUAGCUUACAGACAUCUGAAAGGUUAGUAGUAGUCUUAUGUUUGCUAUUCUUGUUUAUUUUCAGAAAAUGUAAACUGUACUUGUCUCCUUUCACAUAUUUGUCGAAUUUGUACAUAAAUUGUUUAAAUUUUAUUCUGUACAACAAUUUAGACUAUGAAUUUCUGCCUGUUGUCUUUACAAAUGAUGUGAAUCUAAUUUCAGAAUCAGAUUGAAGAGCAAGAAUUAGUUUCUUUUUGGACUAAACAUGGUAAUAGUCAAUGAGUUGUUGGGUCAAUCUGGAGCUAACAUUGAGCAAAUUCUAAGUAGUUUGAAGCAGUAUCAAUAUGAACUCGAACCCGAGCAAUUCGCAACUCGCGUGCAGGAAAUUCUUGAGACUUUUCAAAAGAUGUGUGAAUCCCUUCAACCUGUGCAUAAUCUUGUUAACGGUUUGGAUAUAGAGAGUAUUCCUCAAUUGCGCAUUUCCUCUCAAGAAUUGCUGCAAUUCUUAUUACUGAAUUCACAAGGGCCUGAAGAAGCAAGUGAAUCAGUGGAAGCCGUUUCUUCAACCAAUGGGUAAGAAUCUUCGAACGAAUCAACAUCGUAAUUCCCUGUUUAAGCAAUAAAAUGUGAGUUUAAGUGCUGUGGAAACUGUUAUGUAUUUGGUUGAUUGACUGUAACUCUUCAUUCCUACUAUAGUAGAUAGCCCGUGGUACAAUACAAAUGAUUCAUUGAGCCAGUUCACCUUCCUUGAGGAUUUAAUAACAUUCUUUAGUGGUGUCAUUUUUAAACUGUGCAGGUUGGAAUUAUCUGUUGAACAGGCAAUGAUUGAGGAACAUGAUUACGAAUACGGAGGGACUUUACUGCCAUCACAACUGGAGCACAUGGAGACACUAUGGUAUUGGUUAAAUGAUAAACGUGUUGGAACAAUUCGUAUUCAAGGGGAUACCGGAAUGGGGAAGACAUGGAUGGCGAGGCAAUUGAAGGAUAGAGCAAUCAUAUCCAAUCUCUUUGAUAUUGUCAUUUGGAUAGAUGCGACUCACAAAACUCUUCUAGAUGCUCAGGAGCAUAUUGUUGAUCAGUUGGGAUUAUCUGUUAAGAGAGAGACUGACGAAGGAGGACGUUAUGUAAAAGAGGAUCUAAUGCAGAAGGUUGCUUUAUCAUUGGGAAAGCAGAGGUACCUACUAGUUAUAAAUGAUUUCAGGUAUUCAAAAAUUGGUCAUGAUGAUUUUGGGUUUGGUGAUCCUAGGCAACAAAACUAUUUAUCCAAAAUUUUAAUGUCUGGACCUGACAAGUUCAUUGCUCAUCUGAACACCCAUAAGAUCUGCAAAGUGAAUCCCUUGACCAAGGAUGAAGCUUGGUUGUUGUUCCUUCGCAUAACUCGGUUAGAUACUGAUGAUUCUCCAAAUGUACGUGAAAUUGCGCAAUGUUUGCUUAUGUCAUUCAAGGGUAAUACAUCUAAGAUCGUCUCUGGUGGAAGGUAUGCUGCUAAUUUAACAAGUAGCGUUUGCGACCUGUUGAAUUCAGGGAGGAAGGAUGUCAUUGAUUGCUUCCAAUACUGCACAUAUCUUUCCACAAAGGAUAGGUUCAGGGUGAAAGAUUUGAUACCAUACUGGAUAGUGGAAAUACUUCUGGACCACUACUGUUGUAUUGCCUUGGAUGAAGCAUAUGAAAAGGUCCACCAUAUAUUAAAGGAGCUCAACGAUCGUCAAAUUUUAGAAUGCGAUGGAACUCAUGUGUGGGUUAAGACCUUAUUGCCUGAUCUAAAUUCCAUUAUAACCCUCCCAAGUUCCCAUCAUUUUGAUCCGAUAAAACCUUGGCGAUAUGAUACAGACAUAUCUUGUGUGAUGAAUGAAAAUUUGCAGAUUCAAGAUUCAGCCGAUGCCAGGGAGUACUCAUCUGCGACGCAGUUUCUGUUGUUGUACGGGAAGGAAGGUUGCCUCCCUCGGAAAAUCCCAGAUUUGUUUUUUACAGAAAUGCAACAACUUCUUACUCUUGCUAUUGUUGAUGCUGGUAUCAUCUCUCUUCCAGAAUCCAUUUCCAAGUUGAAAAGGCUUGACAUACUUGUAUUAAGGGGUUGUCGUUCUCUGAAGAAUGUGAACCAAAUCAAAGGGCUUCAAAAGCUACGUUAUCUUCGUCUAUCAGGUGCUAGCAGCUUGAAGGAAAUCCCAGAUGACAUCUUCCGACAUUUGGUUAAUCUUAAGGUGAUCGACCUUUCUAACAACAAACUUACCCAAUUACCCUCGUCCGUUGCCAACCUUCCUUAUAUCCAAACUCUCAUCCUCCGAGGCUGCUCUCGGUUAGAAACAAUUCCACGUAUAAUUUCUGCUAUCAACCUCGACGUGCUUGACCUUUCAGGUGCAAGUGCACUACGAAGUAUCCCAGACAGGGCUUAUUAUCUUAAAUUACUUAAUUUGUCUGGAACUCUUGUUGAAUGUUUGCCAUCUCCAUCCAGCCUAGACACCCUUGAGCACCUUCUUUUAAGAGGCUGUACAAAGAUCACAACAAUGCCACAUCCAGAUGAAUACAAAAGCCUUCAUGUUCUUGAUCUUUCUGCUGCUACUUCAUUUAGAGAAUUCCAAGGUCAAAAAAUAACCUCUGCAGAUAACUAUGGUCUAAAAAAACUUGACCUCUCUGGAUCCCUUAUUGCGCAAAUGCCCCCUUUUGUUGGAUUUUUCAGCAUUAGCCAGAUCUUACUGAGAAAUUGUUGCCACAUAAAGACAAUGCCACCCUUAAAUGUCAAAGUUGAGGUACUUGAUCUUUCAGGUUCCACUGCUUUUAAAAGUUUACAAGAUGAACCCCUUUUGGAUCAGCUUAGAGAACUUGACUUAUCUAGAACUCAGAUUGGAAAGCUGCCUGUUUUAUCUAUCCAUUCUGUUAUGGUCCAACUCAUAUUAAGAGGAUGUGAAUAUCUAGUGGAACUACCACAAUUGGAGCUUCAGAGACUUCAAGUGCUCGAUCUUUCAGGUUCAACUAAGUUCAAGAAAUUCAAGGAUGAUUCCUUCAACAAGCUACGGAAGCUUAAGACGCUCAAUCUCUCUGAAACCCAGGUUGCGAAGGUACCCACAUUUUCAGAAUGCAGUGAACUUCGACAAUUAAUAUUGAGAAAUUGUUUGAAGUUGGAGACACUUCCGCAUCUAAUUACUCUAGAAAAACUUGAGCUUCUUGAUCUCUCGGGUGCUAUUUCUUUCAAGGAAUUCCAAGAUGUAUCCUUCGGAAAGAAGGAAGACCUUCAGGAGCUCAACCUUUCUGAAACUCAGGUUGUACAAAUCCCAUCACUUUCUGAAUGCCACAAUCUUUGCAAGCUCAACUUAGGAAACUGUUCAAAGUUGAAGAUACUGCCAAGCUUGGAUGCUUUCUCGAGACUCGUUGUGCUUGAUCUUUCCAGAACAAUUUCAUUAAUGAAAUUGCAAUACGCAUCUAUUGGGAUGAAAUAUGAUCACUUGCAAAUGCUUGAUCUCUCUCAAACCCAGGUUCCAGAUGUUUCAUUCCUGUCUGGAUGCGUAAAUAUCCGUCAACUGUUUUUACGAGAUUGUGUAAACAUCCAAACAGUGCCACCUCUACAUGGGCUUACAAGACUAGAAGUGUUAGAUCUUUCGGGGACAAAAACGAAAGACUUUUCAGUUCUUUCUGGUUUCAAAAGUCUCCGUCAACUCUUACUAAGAGAUUGUUUGAACCUCCAAACAUUAAUACCGUUAGAACAGCAUAAAGGACUAGAGGUGCUUGAUCUUUCUGGAACAAAGAUUGAAGAUUUCUCUCUUCUUUCUGGAUUCAACAAGCUUUCCCAACUCUCACUCCGAGGCUGCUUCAACUUGGAGAUGUUGUCUUGUGAGGGCAUGCAUAACCUUCAAAAAGUAGACCUUUCUGAAAGCUCAAUUGCGAUGUUACCAUCAUCCUUUUCAGGACUCAGGAAUAUAAGUAGUCUUUUACUGAAAGAUUGUUCAUCUUUGGAGACAUUGCCCCAAAUGGAGAUGCUUACAAAGCUUGAAGUGCUUGACCUUUCUUGCACAAAACUUAGAGAAUUUCCCAACGGCAUCUCUGAACGGACCCAUGUUAGGUUUCUUAAAGUACAGGAAGAGAACCACCUUUUUGAGUUUCAAAAUGUAAAAUCCUUUGAGAGAUUCCAUUUCUGUUUAUUUGCACCUAACGAACGAAUAAGAGAAAAGGACAUUUAUUUACAGGAUCGACGUUAUUCCUUCAGAUAUAUUUACUAUCAGACCAGCCAUAUUCCUCAGUUGACAGAAGAACCUGAUAAGUUUUUCAAAUUUUGUGGAUUUAAAACUUUCCCAGUGGGUAUUGAGGAAGUUCUCACUCAUGUGGAGCUUUUGUAUUUGAAGAAUAAUAGUUUUAUUACAAGAAUGUCAGAUUUGGGUGCUGAAAAUAUGAAGGAAAUGAGAGAAUGCUGGAUAGAGAACUGUGAUAGUAUGGAGAUUGCUUUCUACGGAGGAAAACAAGAAGAAAAUGUGGCACUGGGUAGGUGCUUACAGAAUCUGUGGGUCUCGAAACUCUUUCAUUUGAAGUCUUUGUUCGGAGGGGAAGUGGAGUCAGGAAGCUUCACAUUGCUGAAACAUUUAUAUAUUGAGUGCUGCCCUAGCCUCAUUACUGUCUUCUCCUCUCAUCUUGAGCUGAAAAGCCUUGAAGUUUUGAAAAUCAAAUUCUGUGACAAUAUUGAGAACAUGUUUGGAGAAAUGGUUUUGGGAGAAAAAUCACUCCCAAAAUUAUUGACAUUGAUCCUUGUGAAACUACCUGAGCUGCAGAGUAUCUGUCGAGGUGUAUUGCCAUCUCUAAAAAAUCUCAGAGUCAUUGGAUGCUCAAAGAUUAAAAAGCUCCCAGUCAGUGGAAAGAGGACCAGUCCUCGUGUAAAGGUUAAAGGAGAAAUAGCAUGGUGGAAUGACCUGGAAUGGGAAGAUGAAGCAACUAAAUCGCACCUGCUCUUUUCACUGUUUUAGUUCAAUACAACAGCAUUAUCUCAGGAACGUAAUUCAUGGAUCAUGCUAGUUACUUCUUCACCAUUUAGAGGUAUUUAAUUUUGAUUUAUUAUCUAUAUAUUCUUUUUUAUAUAGAAUUGUUAGACAUUCUUUACGACAUGGAUCAUGCUAGUUACUUCUUCACCAUUUAGAGGUAUUUAAUUUUGAUCUAUUAUCUAUAUAUUCUUUUUUAUAUAGAAUUGUUAGACAUUCUUUACGACGCACUUUCUAAAAGUUAAUUUUAAAAAUAGUUUGUUAGGAGCAGUCCAUCCUAUAUGUAUAUGAUGUUACCUGUUGUAAUUGCAUUUAAAAACGAAUUACUCAUGCUUAAGUUUUAAAACAUAUUUUGGUUUGUGUUUUAGUUUACCUGCUACCAGAGCUAGUAUCCGUGCUUUUACCAAAACUUCGCUAGCUUCCACUACAACGAUACAAAGAUUUAAUUUAAUUUAACCUCCCUGGAUUGAGGUCGAUCUAUACCAAGACAUGAACACACAAAAAUUUACUGGAUCAAUACCAAAAAGGGUGAUCAGUUUUUUUUUUAUUUUUUUUAACGUCCAUACGACCAGACUGCUUGAAAAAUAUUUUGCUAUCUUUCGUUGGAUGAUUUUCAGUGAACCUGGCCGCAUAACACCGCAAUAUUUUUCCUCUUUUGAGGUUUAUGCUCGAGUUUUACUUAGGAUAUUUGAAGGUAAAAUAGAUAAAAUAUGCAAUGUACUUUAUCCAAAUUCUCACUUAAUGCAAUGUAAAAAUAAUUUGUAAUAUUUAUCCAUAUAAUUUUUAAAAUUCUCAUGUUAUAAAAUCCGUCAAGUUUCAUGCUAACGGUUGUUGAUAUGUUAAAGUUAUUUUCCAACAUGGCUCCAAUAGAAUAUUUUUUUUAUUUAACUUGAUUUUCUAACACAGCAAGACAAUACAUGUACUCCUCACAUGUUUUUAUAAACUUUAAAUAAUAAUCAUAAGUACCACAUGUAGUCCUUAGAUAUACGUACCGCAUAUUGUAAUUCUCACCCUCCAUCUAUUCCCAUCAUAGUUAUUGAUGACAACAAAAAAACCUAAUUUGACCAUGAAACCCUAACUACAAAAAAAAACUAAUUUCACUAGGAUAAAACCCUAAUUUGUUCAAGUUACUUCACAAAUUACUUAUUGGAAACAAAUUACUUCAAUAAGGAGGAAUCUUGUUGCUGGAUUUGCGUAUAAAAGAACAUUAUUUGAAAAAGUAAGUUGGUAAUUUGUUGUUUAGUACAGUCAAAUUAAGGAUUUUUUUUCUAAAGAUUUAGGGAUUUUGUGAUUAAAUUAUGAAUCAACUUGUUUAUUGUUACAAAUUUAAGGAUUUGUGAUUAAAUUAUGAAUAAGCUUGUUUGUAUAAAUAAAAUUUUGGUUCUAUUAAAGACUUGUUUGUAUAAAUAAAUUUGUAGAUAAAGGAAGAAGAGGAAGAUAAAAAUUAAGGAUUUGAAAGUGAAUUGGGGAUUUUGGAUUUAAAGAAGAUGACUUUAUGUUGCACGUGAGAAGUACAUGUAUAAACUGUUGUGUUGAAAUUUAAGAUUAAAUCUAAUUAGAAUAUAAUAAAGCCACGUAAAAAACAACUGCUAGCUCAGUUGGUUGUUACCCCUCUCAAACACUCCCACGAGUGAGAGGUUGUGAGUUCAAUUCCCAUCAACAGUGUUUGUGGGAAUUUCUCAUGUAAUUCUUAGGUGGGUCAGCCUUCGGGCCUGGUUCGAAAUUAGGAGGCCCAUGCUCUUAUGAUGAUAAUAUAUGGUUAGGUGUUCUCCCGUGAUGAUGAUGUAGCUAGGUAUUCUUUAGCGAAAGCAAGUCCCUAAGUAUCAUAAUUGCUCGAGUUGCAAGGUGGCGGUGUGGAAGCUUAGGUGGCGGGAAUUUCUCAUGUAAUUCUUAGGUGAGUCAGCCUUCGGGCCUGGUUCGAGAUUAGGAGGCCCAUGCUCUUAUGAUGAUGAUAUGUGGUUAGGUGUUCUCCCGUGAUGAUGGUGUGGCUAGGUGUUUUUCAGCGAAAGCAAGUCCCUAAGGAGUGCAGAACAAUACUCUCCCCCAAAUCUUGCCACGUUGGUAUUUUUUUUUUUAAUAUUAAGUAAGAUUAAUUAAAAAACUAAAACACUAAGAUGGGUGUUGUUAACACUAGUGGGGCCAGCUAAAUUAAAAAAAAAAAUAGUAGUACGUGGCAAAAUCUGGUGAAGAGUGUUGUUCCACACUCUUUAAGGGUGUCGAACUAAUUCAAACUCGUCCCUAAGUAGCAUAAUUGCUCGAGUUGCAAGGUGGCGGUCUGGAUGCUUAGGUGGCAGCAUUAGUAGCCUUCGGGCCUUAUCUUUGUAAGCCAUUUGGGCCAUGUCCUUGUAAGUCUUCGGGCUAUGAUUAAUAUACCAAAUUUUUAAGAAAAAAAAAAACGUAGGGAAAUAACUUACCAUAUUAGCAACCAUUAGCAUGAAACUGGACGGAUUGUAUAAUGUGAGAAUUUUAAAAAGCACAUGCAUAUUUAGGACAUAAUUUUUUUACAUUACAUUAAGUGAGAAUUUAAACAAAGGACAUUGCAUAUUUUAUCCAUUUUACCGAUAUUUAUUUGUGGAGAAAUCGAUAUCUUUCCCCAUGCAUGAGCUAUCAGAAAAAAUGUAGUUGUACUUGCCACAAUAAACGUAUUAUGAUGCUACUUCAGUACUUUUUUUUAGUUUUGAUAAAAGUAAAAAUAUUAUCACCAAAACACUGUUACAUUUGUGAAUAGUGUGCCUACUUCAGUGCAUAGUCAGUUUUCUCAACUGAACUCAUCAACAACAUAGAAAUUAUUUUACAGACCCAAAUACCCUUAAACUGCUGGACUGCGGAUUGCUUGAGCUGCUGCUAACACAUUGCUGUGCUAUUCAGUGUUUUUGCUGCCCUUUUCCCUACUGUUGUUCAAUUUGUUGCGCCUAGCGGAAACAUAACCACACAAUUGUUGAUAAUUGGAGAAUAAAAAUAAAAACACAGAUAAUAUAGAGAGUAAAUCAAUUUUCAAAGGUUUCAAUAUUCAAUAUCCAAAGUUUCAAUAUCAUAUCAAUACACAAUUCAAUUUUCUAUGUUCUCUAUAUGUUUCCGGCUAUAAAGCAUCCCUAUUUAUAUCUUAAGGUUAUACUGGUAACCCUAGAUUAGUUUUUUGAUGGAUGGCUUAGAUAACAAAAUAGCCAAAUAGGGGGUAUCUCAUUUUUUUCUUUUUUUCAAAAGGGGGGUAUCUAAAAUUUCGAAUUUCAAAUCUCUUUAUAUAUUUUUAACUUAAAUAAGAUAACAAAAUAGGAAGAUACGGUCUCCAAAUUAAGCAGGGACAUGUGACAACAUAAUAGGAACCCUAGGAACCACGGACACUUCAAAAAAUUCACUGUGUCAGUGUCAGACACUGCUCGGACACUGACACUGCUUCGGACACGGCUUGGGCACGUGUCCGACACGGCACAUGCGUGUCCCAUGUGCCGUUCAAUCUGGACACGGCUUGGACACUGUUCUGGACACUUCUUGGACACUGUUUUGGACACUGUUCUGUUUCCAAGUCCUAAUUUAAGACGAAUUGUAAUAUCUUUAGAACCAUUUCUCUUUCAUGUUUUAUGAACUAUGAAUGUAUAUGAUACAUGACAUGAUUUCUAAGAUAUUAUUGAUAUACCAUAUUUAUUUAUAUAUAUUUAAUUGCCGAGUCCUAAGCCGUGUCCGUGUCCUAAUUUUGGGGAUAAACAAGUGUCUCUGUGUCCGUGUCCAAGUCUGUGUCAGUGUCUGAGUCCGUGGUACCUAGUAGGAACCUUUUAUUAGAAACCCGUUCCAAGUCCAACCACAAACGUUUGUUUGGGUUUUAAGCCCAAGCUAACGUUUGCCAAGGACAUGGGUGUGUGUUUGGGUAUCAUGCAGUCCAUUUAUACGUUUAGCUUUUCAGAUGCAGGACAAAUCGCGUAUUAAUCGUUCUAUCAUUUUUUUCAUAAUACCAGAACUGCCCUCCCUUUUUGCUGAUAUGUGUAGUUUAGUUUUGAAUUUUCAAAAUUUAGGUUUGAAUGUCAGAUCUGGUUUUCUAAAGAACUGAAUAACUAAAUUUGAAAAACUUUAUUUUCUGAAGGAUUUUGGCUUCUCAAUAAUCAACAAAAUGAAGAAUCUUUAACAAUCUCCAUCGAAUUAUCAAUCAAAGACAAGAGAGUUUUGAUUUCGAUUUGUCAAAUCGAUUUUACAAGAUCUUCAUCACUUGGUUUUGAAAGAAGUUUGUGUGUUCUCUUCAUCAAUUAAUUUGUUUUGGGAGCAAAUCAAAUCAAAAGCAGAGGUUUUUGAUUUCUUAAUUCGAUUUGACAAAUCGAUUCUUCAUUCAAUUUUGAAAGAACUUUGUUUGUUCACAUCAUCAAUUGUUUUGAUUUGGCAAUUCGAGAUUUCAAAUAAAGAUGGCGAUGAUUGAUUGCACAGGUGUGUUUUAGUUUAUUUUAUUAAUUUAGAUUGUGUUUUUGUUUUAGAAUCACAAUUUGUCCUUGAAUUUCAAUGCUCAAUAUUUUUUUAUGUUGAACUAGUCGUCAUUCAACAGUUUUUAUGUGUUUUGAGUAUUUUUGGUUGCUCAACUAUGUGUUUUAAGCAUUCGGGUUGAUUAACAGUAUUAAUCAACUCCCUGUUUUCAUUAUUUUUGUUGGUGAAUGUGUUAAUUAACUAUAUUAAUGUGAUUGUAUUAAUAUGUUGAUUACAUGAUGUGGUUUUAUACAGACAUGGAAUCAUGUGAAGGUGUUGUUUCAAAUGAUGUUCCUAUUGAUGGUGUUGUUUCAUAUGAUGUUGCUAAGUGGACGAUCUAUGCGAAGUCGUAUAGUAAAGAAGGUUGAUGGAAAUGGUGGAAAAGCAUACUUGUGGCAAUGCUAUUAAUCUUGGUCAUCACAAUAGGAUGACUUGCUGAUAUUUGAACAACAAUUAAAUUCGAGUUGUAUUUAAUGUUUUGUUUUUCUGUUUUUUUAUUAAAACUUGUGGUGACAAUAUAAUUCAUUUUCAAUUUUAGUUUUCUUUUUCUAUUUCUUUCACUUGGUGACGAUAUAAUUCAAUUGUGACAAUAUAAUUCAGUUCAGUUUAUGAGAAGGAUGGACAUCCAGUAAUGACUGAUUAAUGUGUUAAUCAACAUUUUUUUUAUUCAGGAAAACUUACUGACAAGUUGAUUAAUAUCUUAAUCAAGAAGAAAAAGGUUGAUUAAUGUAUUAAUCAACUUUCAUGUAUUCAGGAAGUGUACUGACAAGUUGAUCAAUAUACUAAUCAACUAAGGGAAUGUUGAUUAAUGUAUUAGUUAACUCUUGCCUUUUUUUUCUAGGGUUUUAAAUAUUUUAGUAUUUUUUUAAUAUAGGAUUAACAUUUAGGGUUAAUGAUAUAGGGUUUUACGUAUAGGGUUUAUGGUUUUAGAAUGACAACAUUCCCACUUGGGUUCACCAUUUCCAAUGGUUUAAAGUUUUUAGAAUGACAACAUUAAGGUGUACUUAAGACAACAUUCCCAUUAGGGUUGAUCAUUCCCAUUGGUUUAGGGUUUUAGAAUAGGGUUUAGGGUGUCUAUAAGACAACAUUCCCACUAGGGUUCACCAUUCUCAUUGGUUUGGGGUUUUAGAAUAGGGUUUAGGGUGUCUUUAAGACAUCAUUCCCACUAGGGUUCAUCAUUCCCAUUGGUUUAGGAUUUUAGAAUAUGGUUUAGGGUGUCUUUAAGACCAUUCCCACUAGUGUUCACCAUUACCAUUGGUUUAGGGUUUUAGCAUGACAACAUUAAGUCUUUAAGAUCGCAUUCCACUAGGGUUCACCAUUACCAUUGGUUUAGGGGUUUAGAAUGAUAACAUUAAGUCUUUAAGACCGCAUUCUACUAGGGUUCACCAUUCCUAUUGGUUUAGGAUUUCAAAAUAGGGUUUAAGGUGUCUUUAAGAGCACAUUCCCACUAGGGUUCACCAUUCAAAUUCGUUUAGGGUUUUAGAAUGACAACAUUCCCACUAGGGUUCAUUAUCUCCAUUGGUUUAGGGUUCUAGAAUGACAACAUUUCCACUAGGGUUUUACAUUUUAUGGUUUUAUAUGGUUUAGGUUUUACCUUUAGGGUUUAGGAGUUUAGGGUUUUACAUUUAGGGUUUAGGAUGUAGGGUUUUAGAGUUAUAGGGUUAGGUUUUUUAAGGUUUAAGAAUUUGAUGAUUAAUGUACUAAUCAACUCAAGAUUUGUUGAUCAAUGUAGUAAUUAGCUGAACAGAAUGUAAGAUAUAAUAAUUACAGUUGAUUAAUUUAUUAAUCAACUAAUACAUAGCUAUAGAACAGUUAAUUAAUGUAUUAAUCAACUCAUGCAGAGUUAAAGAAAAGUUGAUUAGUUUAUAUUAAUGAACUAAUGCAUAUUUGAUUAAUAAAGGUAAAAUGAUCAAAAAAUACAACGUACUUUCACAAAUUUUUCACUUUAUACAAUGUACUAAACAUCACGCCAAAAUAUCAAUGUACUUUGAAAAACAAUUCACGUUAUACAAUCUGUCUAAAACUAGCUAACGGACUGCUAACGUGGCCAAUAAUCAUCUACGUGUAUUUUAAAAAAAAUAAAAAAAUAUUUUCAACACAUCAAAUGAGGCACAUGUUUCUCACAUGAUUGACCUUCUUCUUCCCUAUUUUAAUAAUUAAAUUCAACAAAUGUAAAAAGUCUCAAAUCUGUAAAUCCCCAAUUCAAUUUCACCCUACCUUUUGUGUCUUCAUCUUUUAGUGUUAAACUAACUACUACUUAUUACUUACUUAAAAGAAGAAUUUUCUUUUACACACAGAACAAGCUUGUGCCACACCGAUUCUUUCUUGAGAUUCACCAAUUCACCAUACUAUGUUUGAUUAAAAAUAGGAGUUUUAGCUCUGAGAAAAUGGUUAAUUAAAAUUAGGGUUUGAAGAAUUAAAGAGAAGAUUUAGGGUUUAAUGUUGCUAUGAGAAAGAUAGAUGAAGAAAUGUUGAUUUAGUGUUUCGUAGAGAUUAAUGGACGGUUUAGAUUUUCUAUUAAAGACAUAACAACUAAAAAUAAUAAUACAUCUAUAUCUCUAACAUCUUGGGAUUAAUGGACGGUUUAGAUGUCAAUAUUUGUUGACAUGUUCUGAUGACACAUUUUAAAGUAGUUGUGUUGGUUUUAAUUUUACAACUCAGCAUUAAAAAAAAAAAAAAAAAAUACAUGUAGAUAAGUAUUAGCCACGUAAGCAGCCUGUUAGCCAGUUUUAGAUAGAUUGUAUAACGUGAAAAUUUUUCCAAAGUACAUUGAUAUUUUGGCGUGAUUUUUAGUACGUACAUUGUAUAAAGUAAAAAAUUUGUGAAAGUACGUUGUAUUUUUUGAUCAUUUGUCAUUUAAACACCAUAAUAGAAGCAAAUAACAAUACCAUUGAUAUAUCAACAAAAUUACUAUUUACAAGGAUUCUGUAAAGAAUCAACACUUAAUUAUUAUCAACAAAAAAAAAAAAAAAAUGUUCAUCAACACCACAAACAAUAUUUGUCAAGCACCAACACAAAUGUAUUUUUUGAAAAUUUUUGUUUUUCAACACCAAAACCAAUAAUGGAUAAAACUAUUCUUCCUUUUCUUGAGUUGUUUCCUAAUCCUUCUGCAUCAGCCUUUACAAGCAGUUGUUGUUGGUCCCACGCUUUCUUGUUAAAACCAAGUCUUGAUUCACUCAACAACUCAUAUGCUAUGUUCGCUCUCAUGAUUCACAUCAUUCCUUCUGAAUAGUCAUUAAUUAAAAUUGCUUGUCCAAAAACAACAUGGUCCAUGAAUUUGCAUACAAACAAUGCACAAUUCACGCUGAAAAAUAUAAUUUACAGAAUAAUCAAAUUGUAUUUAUGAUAAUAAAACUUAACAAUUCAAGUUUAGAAAGCUUAGGAAGAGCCUUGAUGCGGAACAUCCCGUGUUUCCUCGAUAUAUAGGUCCCUUUUCAAAACGAACAUCCCCACGCUUGAUUAGUUUCUUGUUCCGCAAUAGAGUGACAUAAUCGGCCUGUUUCAAAUGUGAAAAGUUUGAUAAAAUAUUGAAUAAUUAUAGUUGAUUAAUAUAUUGAGGAUUAACAUAUUAAUCAACUGAACAGAAAAGAUAAAAUAAAUUAAUUAGUAUUAAUCAACUAUUACUUGCUUUGAUUAGUAUAGUAAUCAACUGAAGUUAUACUUGAUUAAAAUAGAAAAGAUAAAAUCAUAUAAUUAGUUGAUUAAUACAUUAAUAAACUAUUACCUGAGUUCAUCAGUAUAACAAUCAACUAAAGUUUUAGCUGAUUAAUGUAUUAAUCAUUUAAAUAGAAAUGAUAAAAUAAAUAACAUAGUAGAUUAUUCACAACAAUCAACAAUUUUUUUAGUUGAUUAAUACAUUAAUCAAAUAAAGAUUCUUAUGAUUAAUGUACCAAUCAAUAGAUAGUAUGAUAUAAAUUGCUUACACCAGUUUGAUAGUUGAUUCAAUGUUUUAAUCAAUUACAAUUUAACAUCAAAGAUAAUUUAUAAUUUACAUAAAAAAAAACCCCAGUAAUUGUGAAGUAAAAUUAAGCAAAAACAUGUGUUGAUUAAAUAUACUAAUCAACUAAAAGUGAAAUAGAAUUUAACAUCAAAGAUUAUUUACAUAAAAAAUUAGAAAUUGUGAAGUAAUUAAGCAAGAAAAAAAUUUCUAAUCAAAAAGUUCCCGAAGCCAAAUCUCUAAGCACGUAAUAUCUAUAUAAAAAGGGAAUAAGAAGAUGGAAAAUUGAACAUAAAAAUCACUUAAGAAAUGAUACAAUCUUUGUGGAAGAGCCAACAAACAAACUAGGGUUCUGUGGAGGUUAGGUUGAAACUCUUGAUUUUCCCUUAACACAAAUGUCUUAUUUAUAACCUAGGGUUAUUGGGCCAAAACAAAAAAACAAGAUGGACUGAACAAAUAUAAUUUCUCAAAGGACGUACGUGAAACGGCAUUCGGUUGUUUGACAUUAUUUUGUGACUAGGUGUGUCCUAGGUUAUCUCGCCUUAACGUCAUUAUUAGGAAGUACCUUGAUGUAUGAGCGUCGUCCCGAGUAUCCCUUCUCUCAUCAUGACUGUCAGGUUGUUGUUUGGUACAGGAUGUACGUACUUUGAGUUGGAUAGAUCUCUUGUUAAGGUUUGGACGUACGUACCUAGUUAGGACGUACGUACCAUAAGUUGGUCAGCAGACUUUCUUCUUUCAGGGACGUACGUACCUAGUUAGGGCGUACAUACGUCGAGUUGGUCAGCAGACUUUUUCAUUCAGGGACGUAUGUACCGAGUUAAGACGUACGUACGUCGUCGUCAGAUUUUCUUAUUUCGGCCCAUUUUCUCUCUCCUCCAAAACCCUAACUAUAUAUGGUUUUCCCAGAAAAGAAUUGAGUAGUUCUUUUGGCCUUCCAAUUCUUAGUCUUGGAGUUUGUUUAGGUUUUGGUUUAGAUUGUUUUGGUGAUUGAACUCAUCUUCUUCUUCCCCAUUCAUCUUUUUCUUCCUUAUUGAAUAUUGAGAUCAGCUUCGAGUCUUCUUGUGUGUUCAUCAAGAAGUCGAGUAUCCUUGUGUGUUCAUCAAAGAACUCUGGUGUAAGCUUGCUUCAUAGAUCGGCUUCGAGUCUUCUUGUGUGUUCAUCAAGAAGUCGAGUGUCUUGUGCGUACAUCAAGGUACUCUGAUGAAGUCAAGGUGUUAGAGAUAACCAGUAGUGUCAACUCGCAGUGAUUGCAGGUAGUUGAUAGGUUUGUACAUCUCUUUUCAUCUAGUGGAUUUAUUUGUUGUCGCGAGGACAACCGUGGACGUUUCCCAUAUUGGGUUUUACCACGUUAAAAAUAUCGUGUGUUCUUUACUUCUUUAUUGUUUUAUUCUUGUUUGUUUUAGUAUCAUAUUGCACAUAUUAGGUUUUUAGUACGGAUGUUUUUCGAACGUACGGACGUUUUCUACUCUAUGUCGAAUGUACGGACAUCAUGUUUACGUACAGACGUUUCAAUUGAAACUCCAAAACUUGGACCGACAGAGAACCCAACUUCAGAAGGCUGUAUCUAACUCAAAACAAAGAACUAGACAAUGUGCCUAUACCAUUAGAAAGAUACUUCAGUCUAGUUUCCCAUGCAACAAACCAAUCAAGAUUUGGAUAUCGGACUAGAAAGAUAUGACAUAUUUACUAAGAGCAUGUUAGGAGAAACAACUUUGUGAACAAGGAAACACAAGCAAACUUACUGUAGGGGUACUACAUACUCCAACCAAUCAAAAGAAGCCACGAUCUCGACCUACUAGUAGCUCGACCACAACAACUCGACUACAUAACCAGCAGCGGUCUGCCAAUACACACAUGCCCUUAGUCAAUGCACAUAAUAUCCUCGCCCGUUACAUAAUCAAUGCACAGGGAAUAUCCUCGCUCGUUACAUAAUCAAUGUCAUGAUUAUGCUCUCAUUAUGAUGUCGGAGAAUCUGCAAGAUCCCAUGAUCUGCGCCCUUCAACCUUCUAUAAGAACAGAACUACGAUGGCUUGAUCUCUAAGUUCAAUUCCUACGAACUAGAGUACGUAGGCAAUCUCAAUCUCAACGAGGUGCAGCCACCCCGAUCUAAAACUUCCCCUUUGGUCAAGUCUCCCAGCGACCUGACCCAGUGAAUGCAUUAAUCUAGAAAUAGGUUAAUACACUUACCAACGAAGAGAUUGGCCACGAGAUCUCCACAUGUGUGCACAUUAUGAGCUAGGGUUUGUAUCGCAACACCUUGGAACGAAAUGAUGUCAAACAUGAAACCAAGUGGCGGUUUCACUUGUUGCAACAAAUAUUUCACUAGCUAUCUCCUGCACUUAUUUAAGUUCGAUCUAGUACAAGAAAUCUUCUAUUCCACCAUGUAUAGCACUAUUAUUAAAAAACGAUGGAUCAAGUCACAUUACUUGUUUGAUCAUCUGCCUAGAUGUUAACUCUCCUCUCCAUGUAACCCCAGGAGAUGUUGUAUCCACUAACAAUAAACUUACCUUCCACUUAAUUUCUAUGAGCACCUUUCAACAUAUUAUACUGAAUUUCUAUGGUAUUGGCAGUUUGGCACAGAUGCAAUUCUUCUUAAAUGGGUUGCUUAUUAGCAACCUGAAGUCAAAGAUACUCACUAUACUGUAUAUGUACAACAGAAUCAAAGGUGAUGUAGCCAAGUUCAGAUUCAGAGAUACUCUGUGAAAAAAGCCAGAAACUGGUCUGAUUUCUGAGCAUAACAAAAACUCAUUCAUGAAGCAUGAAAAAAAAAAGAAUCAAGGACAGCAGGUUUGAAACUAUGCUGUUAGUCUUGUAUACCUUACAUUAAUAUAUAAGCAAUGUCCUGAGUGAAGUCUAUUCCCUCUAUGUCUUCUUUAUUAAUAUCUUCUUCUUCAUGAGCUUCUUUCCAUCCUUUUGAUUUGUAUCAUGUUCCAUGCAUGACAGCAUGAGUGGAGCCUUUGUGGUAACUUUUCUUUGAAAAUGAUCUCAUGAUAUCAAUUAAACAAUAUUGUGUUCUGAAAUUUAUUCUUAUAAAUUUUCAUUGACAGGAACUUUUGUUAUAAUGAUUUAUCCUCUCAAAUCCAUCUUGUAAGUAAUAUAUUUAUAGUUUUAAUGUCUUUUCACCUUAUGGCAUGUUGUUAAUGUAUGUCCUUUUUUGCCUUGUGUUACACUUCUCCUAUAAUAAACUCCUAGUAUUAUGUGUAAACAUGGGUCUAGUUGGCUAGUGUGAUUGUUCUUAGACCAAAUAUUUAUCUCUGGUUUGCAAACUCAGUCUCAAAGUAUGUAUGACUGAAAUCUUCUGAUGUCAAAAAAUAAAAAUAUUGACCAAGAUUUCUUCAUCUUUAUUUGUUGCAGUGACAACCAUAGCACUGCUGCCUCAGUAGAUCUCUUAAAUACUAAUGCACCUGCAGGGGCAAUGGUUCAGGAUGGAAUUGUGUUUAUCUUCCAGGACAUAUAUGUCUUCUUAAAGCACCAUCAAUUGUUAUGUACAUCUGGCCGUGACAUUUCCAUUAUUAACAAAAUGCACCCCAUUUAGCUAGAAAAAAAAAUAAAAAAAUUGUAACCGGAUAUUUAGCUAUAAUCAAAAGAGAAAGCAAGUGUUGGCAGUGUGACUUCUCACUCCUCUGCUGGAGUUUGUUCUGUUUCCGGUAAGCUUUUGUUAGUGAAUUUACACGAUUACACCAGAUGGCCAUGCCAGAUGGGGCAGUGAGCAUAGUUGUGUAAGCCUUGGACUUAAUUUUCUAGUAGUUUUCUAGUCAUGAUUUUGGAAUCUAUAACAUUAAUUUCACAAUAUUAUCAAAAUCAAGUCUUGUUGCUGCAAAU